CCAAAACACCUUACGAUAUGUGGACAGGGAAAGCUCCCUUGUUGGCACAUAUCAAGGUUUGGGGCUGUGAGGUUUUCAUAAGACGAGAGACUCAUGACAAGCUCGAACCUCGAAGUGAGCGAUGUAUUUUCAUCGGCUACCCGUAGAAAUCCUUUGGAUAUCUCUUCUAUAGACCGAGUGACAAUCUUGUCUUCGUUACAAGGAGAGGGGUUUUCCAAGAGCGAGAACUCAUAAUCCAAGGAGACAGUGGGAGGCAAAUCGAUCUUGAAUAGAUUCAAGAGUCGAGCGAUGAAGGAACCUCUAACGCUGGCGAUGAAGAGAUUCAAGAGUUUCUAAGAUAAAAUCUAUUAGAGUGAUGCUAGUCAUUGCUGCAUUUCAUGAUUAUGAGAUAAGGCAGAUGGAUGUCAAGACCGCUUUCCUUAAUGGGAAGUUGGCUGAGGGUUUUGUCGAUCCGAAGCAUCCCAAUAGAGUGUGCAAGCUUGAGAAGUCCAUUUAUGGACUUAAGAAAGCGUCUCGCAGAUGGAAUCUUUGCUUCGAUGAGAAAGUCAAAGAGUUUGGAUUUGUACGAAGUGAAGAUGAAUCAUGUGUNUAUAUGUCAAAGCCAGUGGGAGUAUAGUAAGCUUCCUCGUUCUAUAUGUCGAUGACAUAUUACUCAUAGGAAACGACAUCCCGACUCUGCAGGAGGUUAAAUCCUGGCUCGGGAAGUGCUUCGCUAUGAAGGACCUCGGAGAGGCUUCCUAUAUUUUGGGAAUAAGGAUAGUGAGAGAAAGAAGUAAGAGACUAAUAGGACUUAGUCAGAAUACUUACUUAGAUAAAGUACUAAAACGUUUUAGUAUGGAAAACUCGAAGAAGGGAGAAUUACCGAUACAAAGUAAUGCCAAGUUGAGUAAGACUCAAAGUCCGAGUACCGAAGCUGAAAUAGCAGAAAUGAGCCGAGUACCAUACGCUUCCGCAGUUGGCUCAAUCAUGUACGCUAUGACUUGUACUCGCCCUGAUGUAGCCUUUGCUUUGAGCAUGGUUAGCAGAUAUCAAGGGAACCCUGGCAGAGCCCAUUGGAUUGUGGUGAAGAAUAUACUUAAGUACCUUCGGAGGACCAAGGAAUGGUUCUUAGUCCUCGGAGGGAGUGAUGACUUAAAGGUGCGAGGGUAUAGUGACGCCAGCUUUCAGACCGACAGGGACAACUACCGUUCGCAGUCAGGCUGGGUCUUUACCCUAAAUGGAGGAGCAGUGACUUGGAAAAGUUCCAAGCAGGAAACCGUAGCUGAUUCAACGUGCGAAUCAGAGUACAUUGCAGCGAGCGAAGCGUCAAAGGAGGCAAUAUGGUUGAAGAACUUCAUUGGUGAUCUUGGAGUUGUGCCUGCUAUAAAGGAGCCUAUGGAAAUUUUCUGUGAUAAUGAAGGAGCGGUUGCCUUGACCAAGGAACCGAGGGAUCAUGGUAGAUCUCGGCAUAUCGACAGAAAAUAUCACUUUAUUAGACAUCGAGUAGAAGAAGGACACCUCGUAGUGAAGAGGGUAUCGUCAGAGGAUAACCCAGCAGAUCCGCUUACGAAGGGACUGAGUAGGGUUAAGCAUUUGCAGCACGCUAGGAGCAUUGGGCUAAAAGACGAUAUUAGUUUAGAUUAGAUAGUUUUGAAACAUGUAAUAGAUAAAUGUAAUUGACAUUUGAUGAUUAAAUAAAAGAGUACUAUUUAUGAGUAAAGAUACUGUCUUAUGUUAAUUGUUUAACUAUUGUUUCACUUUGCAUGUUUUGACUUCCUGAAUAAUUAAGUUAUUAAGAAUAAUCGAAUUAUUCGAAUGGUCCACAACCAUUCAUAUGUUGGAAGUAGGUAUGAAUGAUGAUUGUCAUGAAUUGGUGUGUAGAUUGUCUAAAAGAGUAUUAGACAUAGCAAGGUUUGCUACAACAUUCAUGAGUGCUUAUGAACAAGUUUUGAGCAUUGGAAUAAACCCGCGCUUGCUGGAAUCACUUUUUGGAAUGUGACACAAGUGAACGCAAGAUGAUAAUAUCAUAUGGUCUUAAAACCAAGAUAUAUGGUUUAUUGUUUAUUAAUUGGUUGUGCAUUGACAAUGCCAAACCGCAUCAGUAAAUUGAUGCCAUAAAACGCAUUGUUGUGUAUAGUUGAUUAGUAAAUAGUGAAUACAUAAAAGUCGAAGUUUAUCUGUUACUUUCAUCCUGAGAGGAUAAAAGCGAUAUCACGGCCGCUCGAUGAUUUGAUUUGACUUAUGUGUCGGGCCUGGUCAGGACUGAAUUGUUGUGUUCAAUUAAGUUCUAUGUCAAAUAAAUCUGAGAUCGAGAAACCAAAUGUUGGACAAUAAGUUCCAUAAGAUUGCCGCAUAAUAUCUAAACAGAGGAUUGUACGAUCCCUUAUCUAAAGGACAAGAGAUUGAUAAGAUCAGAGUUGACAGCGUCUUUGAGAGCUACGAUUGUUAAUCGGUUAGUGUUUACAUAUAUAGUUACUAGACUUAUCCAAGUGGGAGACUAUUAGAUUAGUGUCUAAGGCUAUAACUAUAUUUGGUAAGUACUUGACCCGGUUGUGCAUGGUCCUUUUGGGUUGCCUUCACGAUAGCAACUUGACAGGAUGAUUUGUUAAGAGAGAAGAAAUGUUAUUGUUAAUAUAUUAUGAGAAUAAUAUAUUAAAGGAAUAAUAAUAUUAUUUGAUUAAUAUAAGUCAUAUAUUAAUUAAGAAUUAAUUUGGUGACUUAAAGAGGUUAAUUGAAUAAAGGGGCAUAAACUGUCAAAUGUGUGAUAGUUAUGUUUUGGGAUAUGUAUCCUUAUAGAUAAUGGGGUGGACGAAAUUUAGGGUUUGGGAACCUUAAAAUCGUCAAAGCCUAGAAUCUAGAAGGAUCUUGGAUUGCUUAGGGACUAAGUUAUUCAAUUAGGGUUAAAGGUGAAACCCUAGUAUCCCAUAGUAUAAAUAGACCCCUAGGGUGAGGGAAAUCGGCACUCAUGCAAGGCAAGAAACCCUAGGGCCGAUUUCUCACCCUCUUCUCUCUCUCUCUCUCUCUCUCUCUCUUAAAUCAUCUUCUUGCUAGAUGGUGUUUGUAAGCCAUUAGAGGAGUGACAAUUGUGACUCUAAGCUCCAAGAAGAAGAAGUAUUAAGCAACUAAUCCAAGGUAUUGUUCUAGAUCCUAAUUCUUAUGAUUAGAAUCAAUUGUUUACAUUAGAUCUAGUAUUGAAAGUCUUUGAUAGAAUGCAUGUUCAAUGAGAGAAACCUAGAUCCAAGUAAUUAGGGUUUGCAUGUGCACAUAGGAAAGUUCUUAUGGCUCAAACCCAUCACUUCAUUCAUUCCUACUUCGAAAGAAUGAGCGACUAUGGAGUGUUUGAAUAAUCUUAUUAUUCGGGAAGUCAAAACAUGCAAAGUGAAACACAAGAAUAAUACUAAUCCUAUAUGGCCCCAAAAUUUUGAGUAUAAAUAAAAAACAUUUUAUUUAAUCACCAUAUUGAUUACUCAUUAUUUGUUGUUUUGGGUAAUCAACUUCUUACUUGAAUUAUAUCAACAGUUGUCCCAUGCUCUUAGCAUGCACACUAUGUUUUCCUAUGGUCCUUACUUUGUGAAAUGGUAUAAUUGAAUAACAAUUUCAAUCACACUCAUUUCACAAUUCCUAAUCAGUGUAAGAAUACAAAAUUCUCGCCACUACUAGAAUAUGAUAGAUUCUAACACUUUAUGCAACGGUCCUUUCAUAAUAUCAUAGUGCCAAAGUCACCAAGACUUUGCCAAUGAAAUUACAAAGUGCUCUGUUGGAUAUUGUUACAAGACAAUUCCAUAGUCAUGAAGUCUCACAUUCAAAGUACUUUCUUUGAACAUCCUCCUUGCAUAAAAAGUUUCUAAUCUAGAAAUUGAUUUUCGAUAUCCAACUCCCAAUAUGGAAACAUUUCCAUAUUUUCCAUAUGACAACUCAUUCUAAAUAGAAUCUUAUCUAUUCAUAAUAAUGCCAAUAUGGUCCAUCCAUGACUAUACUUCCAACUGUCCACAAGUGACCAAUCCUUGGCGAACCUUAGAUUGUCCUUGAUAAUUGUUUAAUUAUUUUAGUUAAGUCCGGUUGUAUUCCUUUUUCCCCUUUAAAUUCCCUAGGGAUUUAGAAAAUUUUAGAACGGUCGAAUAUUUCAGCAUAUGCAAUCGACCCUAUGCCUGAAGCGUAUGGGAUACGAUUCAUAAUGAAAAAGGUGAUACUUUACCACUUUCUUGUUAUAAUAUUGCCAUAACAUUUCUAGUUGUUGUGUUCUCAAAAUUCGAUCUAUGAAGAGGGAUGCCGUAAUCAUAAUCAAACUUUGAGAAUGAAAAUAGUAAAUAUACCCUUGGCUAAAUUCAAUUAAAAUUUCUUGAUCUAAGCUUUUAGAUUGGAAAACGAAGUGUAACAUUCUCUCCCUUAAUUAUAGCAAAAACAACUUUUCAACCCCUGCAACUUUGCAAAGUGAAACUUUUGUUUUUCUAUAAUUAAUAUUGCAACUUGCAAUACUUUAAAUAAUAAUUAUGCUCCCACUAACAUGAUGAUUAUAUCCAUUCCCGCAUAGCAUUUAUGAUCCCACUAGCUUUGACACAUAUUCAGAAAAUAGUUGGACUUCUAGAAGACAAUACUUAUUGACUUCCAAAAUUCAUAUUUCCAAUACGAUGUGCUUCGAUAAGCCUUUUAUCUAAGCUUCUGAAACUCACACACAUUUCCUUAGACAGCUCACAUGUGUGUCUAAACUAAUUCAGAACUUAUAUUACUAAGUCCCAAAUGCUCAGACAAAUUGCCAAAUCUCACAAUUUGAGCUAUAAAGAGGGAUGUCGUAAUCAUAAGCGAAUUUGAGAAAGCAAUUUACCUAAUCGCUAUCUCCUUAAAAUCUCUCUUAGUGAAAGCGUUUCCUCACAAUCAUUUUCAUGAAGGAGAGAAACCUUAUGAAACUUAGAUUUUACGGUGCAUGUGUUCCUAUCCAUGUGAAUUUUUCAUAACCAUAAUCAUGAUAUAAUGUUUGUGACAAAUCCAAAUUCUUAUGGACAUAACUUUUUCAUACUUAAUUUCUUUCCAUCAAGGGUCCUACCAUUGCUUCCAAGUUAUUUAGCAGCUCACCUAUGCUAGUCAAUGUACUUUCAUUGAACAAGGUGGUUGCCUUAUGCAGUCUAUUGAGAACUCGUAGAACUCAUAUGCAUAAUCACUCGACUGGAUUAGCACAGAAAUAAAAUUUUAUCAACAUGAUAGGUUACAAUCCUCAAGUCGUGUGUUAGUGUUUAAUAGGUUUACUUCUUGAUUUGUUCUUGAAACUUUUCAAGAUCUUUAGACUCCCACUGACCUCUUGACAUAGUAGAUUCUCUUAUCAAGAAACAUUUCUUGAUAAACAAAUAUCCAAGAGUUAGUGUGUGUCUAUAUCAAGACAAAACAUUACACACAUUUUGUAUUAGUUGGUCUUUGUCUUCUUCAAGACAUCACAACUUACCACUUUCAAACGUGCAAGAGUAAGAAAAACAAUUUUCUACUUCACAUUUGAUGAGUGUGUGUCACUUAAUUCACAGUCUUGGAGUAGGAUUCUAAGACUUGAUUUUGGAACGAAGUAUGACUCGUCCUUUUGAUUUAACUAUUUCAACAAUUUCCGAUUCCUCUUCUUAGCCAUACUAAUGCACUAAGAUGUCCUUAGAGGAUCAAUUGUGAUAUGGUUCUUAAUCAUUAAUAUGAUCAUAAAAGCUGAUACAAAAGUACUCUCCCUUCUUCUUAGAUUGGAGAAACUUUUAUCUUUCUGCCUAAAUGAUUCUUCUUAUCCGUUCUGCCAUUCAUUGAAACUUUUCAAUGAUUCAGAAUUACACUUACUCUUGUAAGUAUAACCACAUUUACUAGACUUUUAGUAAAUUAUGACGAAUAGUUCUAUUAUUAUUUGUGGUGGACUUGAGUAGUGCACAACAUUGUGUUCUAUUCCUUUAGUCCUUCACUUGACUCACAUACUUGUGUGAUCAAGGAAUUAGUAUUAAUUUCCUAAGUACCAAGAUUUCCAUUCAUCACACAAUACAAGUUGUAUGAUUCCAAGUUUCUGUCCAAUUGAAACUUGGGUGAUGGGAAUCUUUCCUUACUUAGAAAAUUUUGACACUAGCAUAAAUAACAUAACUAAGAAUCAAAUCCAUUUAUAUAAAUACACAAACAUCAAUUUUUCACAAAGAUUUCAUUGCAAGGAUAUAUAUAAAUAAGACAAAUCAAAAUUUUAUUUUAUUAAUAAAGGCAACGGAAAACAUGUCCUUACAAUGAAAAAAUCAACUGAAAAACUAUGUAAUCAAAUAUUCCUAAAAAAUCUAUCAUAACUUUCUAAGCUCAAAAUCUGAUCUUUGAAUCCAUGCGAUCAUGAUCCAUUUCUUCGUGAUCAGACUCAUCUUGCUCUUCCAUCAAGCUUCCUCUCUUUUCUCUUAUCCUGCAAAACAUUCAAAUGUAAUCUAAUCACAUUGUGUAUUAAGAAUCAAUGAAUAGGAACUUAAUGGAGUUAGAUAGUGGAUUUUACCUGAAGUAGAGCCAAACGUCUUGACUCUCCCAUCUUUUAGAUAUCUCAGGUAGACUGGGCAGCUUCGUCUCCAAUGCCCCUUCUCUUGGCAAUAGAAGCAAAUUGACUCUUUUGGAACAGAACAAGGAACUACUUCAGACUUUGCCUUUCUCUUAUGAUCAAACUUUUCGACCAUGGCAUGCCUUUCUUUGCCAUUUCCUAUGUCCAUAGAGGUUUGGAAGGAAGAUCCACCAAUCAACUUUGCUUCUCCAGUGCGCCAAAUCAUUGUUGAUUCAGCAGCAACAAGCAAAUAGGUGAGAUUGAUGAUGGUCACGUCGUGGUCUAUCAUAUAGUACUCUCUUACGAACUCACUAUAUGAGUCAGGUAGUGACUGAAGAACCCAGUCAACAGCCAGCUUCUCACAGACAACGACUCCCAACAUUCUUAAAUUAUCAAUGUGUGACUUCAUCCCUAAGACGUGUGCACACACAAACUUUCCUUCUUCAUGUUUACUUGACAAAAGGGCUUGACUGAGCUUGAAGUUUUCAAGACUUUGAACUUGUGGGUUAGGGAGAACAAUAGGAGCAGGUGGAGGAAGUGAAGCAUGAUCCCGUGUUCCUCGAUCGAGUUGUGAAAUAUCAUCUUCAUGCGGAAAGCUUGUUCCACGGGAUUUGGGAAGACCAUAGUUGUCAUACUUUGACAUCUACAAAAACGGUAGAAAAUUCACGUUAGUUGAUUGAUUGAGUCCUUAAUAAAACACCUAAAUGAGAUAUUAAGGGUAGGACCCAACACAAUACUCUACAACUUGGGAGAGGGAUGCUGUAACCCAAAUUGAAGAACGUUUGAAGGUAAGUGAAUGACGAUUCACUAAUUUUCCACCAUGAAAAACCAAAAAGAUAUUAAUUUUUAAAUGUAUUGAAAACUCCUAGAUCCUUUGAGAUUCAUUGAACUUUUCAAUGGCAUGUUUAAAUCUCGAUAUGCCCCUCGAUUUGUGACUGGGAUGCCAAGGAUCACAAAACAGGGUGUGAAUAACCAUGCAAACUUACAUGGUGCCCCCAAUGUUACAGUCACCUAUUCCAUGUGUCGGUUAACCACACACGCUCCACCAAACUAUGACAAACAUCGAGUCACCCUUUGCUACCUUUUCUUAGAACCCAUUUAGUGUGCCGGUUAACCAUACACGCUCCACUAACGUCUUAGUAAGGGUAAAAAGUGUAAUUUCAUGGAAUUGCAUCAAUUCACUUUUGCCUAAAGUAACUAAGAUUGGGAAUUUUUUGUAAAACGUUUAGUUACUUUAACAUUCAUUAUACUUUUAAUGAGGAGAGGGUUUGCCCUAUCCUACCCGUUCGGCUAACGACCCUCCACCACUCAAGGAAGCGGUGGGUAAGAGUGGACACCCAUUAAACGGCCAUGUUAUCGGCCAUAACCUUAUACCCCCCCUUGUAGAUCAACUUCAUGAAUAAGGCCUACUAACGGUAAAACUAGCAGUUUAAGUUAUACAUAUAUAAUAUUAGACUUUUAAUGUUAUAUAUAGUAUAAGGGUGUAUUUUACACUUUUAAAAUACUAUGUUGUCUAAUUUAACAAAUUACAAUUUUAAUUUAAUUAAAUGUAAACCAUAUCAUUAUGGAUUUAUUAACUCUCUCUUAAUUAUACACUUAAUUAAUUUAAUAAAACCAUAAGGGUGCAAUUUGAACUUUUUCAAAAAUUAGGGUUUUAGAAUUUAACAUUUUAAAAUUAAACUUUUAAUUAAAUUUAAAAUUCAAAACUUGAGGGCAAGUUUUGAAACAUUUCAAAUCACUAGGGUUUAGAAUGUAAAUAUUUCAAAAUUAAACUUUUUAAUCAAAAUUUAAAUUCCAAAACUUGAGGGCAAAUUUUGAAACUUUUUCAGAACAUUAGGGUUUAGAAUUUAAGUACUUCAAAAAUUAAACUUUUUAAUCAAAAUUUAAAUUCCAAAACUUGAGAGCAAGUUUUUGAAACAUUUCAAAACUACAAAUAAGGCAAUUAAACAAUUAAUUGGCGAUUAUCUAGUUUUUGACCUAAUCCAAUUUCAUGCAAGAUAAUUGACCAAAUAAUUCAAAUAAUUUAACAUUUAUCAAAUAAGGUAACAAUUUUCUAAUUAGAUGACCAAAAUCUUUUAUUUUGACAAAGAUAAUCAUAAGGAAUUAAUAAAAUUCGUAUUUUAUUAAUUUGAAGCAAUUAUGGCAAUAAUCCUAAGUCAAAAUAGGCAAAAAAUCCGAAAAUCCGUCUGUCUAACAGCCAGACUCGCCGAGUCACUCCCUGGACUCGCCGAGUUGGGCUGACUCGCUGAGUCCAGAUACUGACUCGCCGAGUUGGGUCGGGAAGAGGCCAUAAACUCGAUUUUCAGCAGAUAAACAAGCAUUGCAUCACAUAAAACAGAAACCAAUCAUGGCUCUGAUACCACUGAUGGGUUUUCAACAAAAGAACAUGAUAUAUGCUCAUGCAAACCCUAAAGCUUGGAUCUAGGUUUCUCUAUUAUACAUGCAAUUCAUCCAAGACUCAAGAACCCUAAUCUAGCAUAUGUAUUUCGAAAUAGACAUAAGAAUACUGAUCUAGAUGAUUACCUCUUCUUUAAUGGCUUGAAUCUUAUUGUCUUUGGAGCUUAGAGUCAGAAGUGUCACUCCUCUAAUGUCUUACAAACACCACAAGCAAGAGGAUGACUAAAGAGAAGGAGGAGAAGCACCAAAACCGUCCUAAGGUUCUUCCAAAAGAGUUCCACACGUUUUUGGGGCUAUAUGGGUCUUUAUAUAGUGAGGCCAUUAGGGUUAUCAGCUAGGAAACCCUAAUUUCACUGCUUAGGCCCUAAGCAGCCCAUAGACUCCCUUUAGAACAACCCUUGGAUGAAUUCCUUAUGGUCUUCCCAUAGAAUUUAUCCAACCUAUGUUCCAAGGUGAUCCUUAGCCCAAUUGUAACUACCUUAUAACUACAAUUCCAGUCCCCUAAGUUUAAUUAGUAUCUUUUAGUCACAAAACUAAUUAUCAAUUUAUUCUUGACUAAUAUUAAUUAAACAAUAUGAUUUCUCCUUUAAUAUAUUAUACAUAUAAUAUACUGAUAAAUCAUAAUUAAUCCUCUUUCUCCAUAAAUCAUCCUAUCAAGUUGCUUUGGUGAAGGCAACCCAAAAGGACCAUGCACAACCGGGUCAAGUACAUACCAAAUAUCGUUACGGGCUUACACACUACUCCUAUCUAGGAAAGCUUGGAAUCAGUGAUAAGGGCCACUGAUUAUGCUUGUGUAGAAGAAAAAGGAAAAUUCAAGUUAACUCGUGAGUGUGUGCAAUUUGUGAAGAUGGGGUAGAUUAUGUGUAGACUCCCUAUGAGUGUGUACAAUUUGUGCUUUUGAAACUUCGAAGGGUACUUCAGAAUAGUGGCUGAAAGGUGUAGGCUGAGACACAGAGUCAGCUUGAAUGCUGAUUUGUGAAUCCUUUUGAGAGGAUUCAACAAAUUUGGUUCUCUUUCUGGAUUUGAUUUUAGAAGGGGAUCCCUUUCAUUUGGCAAUCUAUUUCACUUUACUUUCCAAGGUAUUUGGUCUAUUCUCUUUCGAGGUUGUUUCAUCCGAUACCGGGGCAGGUUGUGUUGGGUUGAUGUCACACCCCAAAACCACGAACGGCGGAAACGUUCAGGGGUGGAGGACGUCAUGCAGUAUCACAACAGUGUAAUAUAAUAAACAAGCAACAACAUCAUCCAUUUCAUUACAAGUAGAGUUUUAAUACAUGUGUGUUCUUUCAUUGUAGUAAGACACCAAAAAUAUACAAUCAAAAUAAAAGAUGAGACUUGUCUACUCCGUCUUCUCAAAACCUGGCCAUCGUACCUGUCUACUGUUGACCUGAGAAUACAAGUUAUUUUGAAAGAGAGUAUCAGCUUUAAAGCUGGUGAAUUCAUAAGUAAUUAAGUGUCAUUGUCUUGCUUAUCAAAAUAUAUUAUGAAGGCCAUGUAAACCUUUAAAUGAAAAUGUUGAUGUAAGUAUGAAAAACCCUAAAAAAUCCUUUAGUUUUUAUAAGUAUGAAAUGUAGUCUUCUACCAAGACCCGAAUGUUUUGUUAUGACAAUGUAGUCUUCUACCAAGACAUGAAUGUUUUGUUAUGAUAAUAUAGUCUUCUACCCAGACCUGAAUGUUUUGUAAGUAAUAUGAUAGCUUUUCCUUUCUAUUGACUAGUACUAGAGUACUUAGUCUAACUCCUCGUUUAUGUGAAAGUAUCACAAAAUAAAGUAAACAGGAAAAAUAUAGACCCUAUGGACAUCCGAAGCGAAAGAUAGACCCUAUGGACAUCCGAAGCGAAAGAUAGACCCUAUGGACAUCCAAAGAAUGUCCCCUCAUCCUCUGUAGCGGCAGCAGGGUGGAGGGAAGGUUAGUCCCGAUAUCGAUCUCUUAAUACAAAUCGUUAACCUAAUGAUCCUCCGAAGAUUCACAUCUCAUCCACUAUUGCAACAGUUGGACAGAGGGAUGGUUAGUCCCGUCACUACUACUAAAUAAGUAACAACCUUAGACAUCCGUAGACAUUCAUCGACCACUGGUGCUAAUCAGUGGGGUUCGGAAUGGUAAGUCCCGCCGAGAUAUCCCAUUGAACCGGGAUAGGAAAGAUAAUUUACACAGUAAGUACUAAUAAAUCAUCCUCGUAGUUCUAAGUACAAGUAUCCAGGUAAGUAAAUACAGGAUAAUGCACCUAUGUAGAUGUGUUCCUGUAUGGUAUUCAUGUAAGUGGGUUCAUGUAACAAGUAAGUAUAUGUAAACAUAUUCAUGUAUCAUGUAAUCCUAAGUACGUGUACUCAUGUAUCAUGUAAGGUAUUGGUAUAGACUCAUGAAUGAACUGACUCUUGUGUGAUUCCUUGUAGUAGUAAUAAUGUUUGAUAUCUUCUAACUAUCCCUAUGAUAGUUAACUGAAAGGUAAUUGGUUGUUUACGUAGGUUUAUGCACUCUUGCUACCCAAGAGUAUUGGAAACUAAAUGAAGGGUGAAAACUAUAAUCUCUAACAUAUAAAUGAACAUAUGCGCAUAAGUAUAGUUUGAUUCAAGAAGGUAAAAUAAUGGUUUUGCAAGAUAUCUAGGAGUUUUGAACAAUAAUUAAGAAUGACUUGAUGUCAUUUUAAUAAACAUUUCAAAACUAAUACUUUUGUUAUCAAGGUAUUUUAAGAUAGAAAACCACUUCAUGUGUCACCUUUUGAAAUAUGUGAAAUCUACUGAGUGAAAACACAGUUAUAAAAUACAUAAGAUUGAUUUAAUAACAUACUGUUUUCUACUUGUAUUCCCCCCCCCCAUUAAUACAUUUAAAAUCAUUUAAAACAUUGAUUUAGGGGUAUGAACUCACCUGUAGUUGGUGAUUGGGAUGAACUGAACGGUAUAGGAUUGCUAGAUGUCAAGCAAGGACUUGCACACUCACUACGAUCCUAAUGAACAUAUAAUCACACAUAUAUGCACUCAAUUAGUCUCUAAAUACUAAUUGAUAAUGUUAAGACAUCCUAGACAUAAUAAACACUUUAUAUAAGUGUUUUAAUCCCUAAGGAUUGCAUCUAAGAUAUUGUGGGACAAGGCCUUGUGUUUAGGGUUCGAAAGGACCCCAUAUAUGAGUUUACUCCCCAUAUACCAUCACACUUGGAGUUUACGGUUGUAAACUAUUGAGUUUACGGCCGUAAACUCCCAACCAUGGGUGUAUUGUGUGUUUUGAAGUUCCAAAUGAUUCCUAGAAUUAUUCCAACUUGGUGGUUAAAUUCUUGGAAGGGUUUAAGGCCNUCUAGAAACACUUCAUUUAGGAGUUUACGGCCCCAAGGCCAUUUCCUUUGGAGUUUACGGCCGUAAACUCCCUUGGAAUGGUGUUUUUUGUUGUUUUCAACUCUCUUGCAUAUGAAGGAUAGGUUCUAGACUUUUACCUAAAGCAUAUGAAGGCAUUUGGUACUCUUUGGUGCCCUUCAUUCAAGUUUACGACCCAAGAACCAUGUCUUGGCCAUAAACUCACUUUGGAUGGUGAUUUUUUGAUGUGUUUGAGGCCCUUGAUUUAUUGGGAACAAGUCUAGGUAAAAGCCUAAGGCCUUAGGUGCCUUGAAAGCACCAUUUUGAGUAUGAUUUUGGAGUUUACGGCCUAAGAAACUCUUGGGCCGUGAACUCCCAAACUUGGGUGGUUCUUGCUUGAUUUCAUGCCCCUAACACACACCUAUACAAGUCCAAGGCAGUUGUAUAUCACGGGGGACAGUCUAGGCUUCGUUUCGGGAGUUUACCGCCCAAGAACACCUUGGGGAGUAAACUGCUAAAUCUAGUGAUUUAGCCUUCUAAAUCAUGUUAUAAACACAUAUAAAGCUUUCUAACACUACUAGAAAGAGGUACUCACGAUUUGGGAUAAAAACCCGAAGAUCUGUGAGAGAGAAAAUGGCUUUUCUCUAGUUGGAAAUGCGAAUAAUGAAUGAAUUUGGUUCAGAAUUCUAUUUAUAGUCCUGAGAUAUUUUUGGCAAAAAAUAUUUUUAUUCCUGAAAUGAUCUCUAAUAUAAUAGAGUGUUGGAAUAACAGUGUUGCACAAAACCCUAGUGCACCCACUCUCCUGAUAUUUCCUGAAAUGUAAACCCUGAAUUACUCAAACUUGCGCGAAAAAGUCUGACAAUUAACUGUGACUGCUAUAACUUCUAUUGAAGUGAUAUAGCUUGUACAGAAUGGAAAUUUCGGGUUGUCACAGUUGAACACAACCAAGGUCUCAAGAUGGUGUUUGAGAUGUGGUGAGUCGGAAGGAAUAGUACGUAACAUGUGUUGAGGUGAACGUCUUAUAGGUCCGAAAAUAGUCUGAUUUAGCAACCUAUAAGUUCUAAUCGUUUUGAAAGAGCAUUAUAUAUCUCAGAUGUAUGAGUUGAGUGGAAUAGCUUCAUGUAUCUCGGAGUAUAGUUGUUGAAGAGUCAGAGCCCAGAAUCUUGGACUCGAAAUCUCGUUCUGUUUCCUCUUGACAACGAACUUCUUAAAGUCUUUCCACAGGACUUCCGGUAGAUUGACAACAUUGGAUUUUCCGGCGAAAAUGUUGUAUACCACAUAAAGGCAAUCCUUGAUCAUAGUGUCUGUACCACCAUGUUUUCCGCACAAAUCCCUAAAAAUAAAAUGCAUCAAUAUAUUCCAAACACCAGGAAUAGCUGAUUUCUUGAACUCUUUAGCCUUGAACUUGACAUUAUAGCCGAUUUGAGUCAAGAAUGAUUGAAACUCUUCAGAAGAUGGUUCCUGCACUUAAAAACCUUUGGGGUUUUCUGCAAUUCCAUUGGCUCUGAGAAAAGUUGCCUUGUGAACCAGUACAAUCCUGUUGUUAGUAAUCUUCACUUCAAGAACAUCAUCUUCAAUCUUCAUGCGUUCGAAGGCAUUGUGAAGAAGUCUGAGAGGGACAUUAGGGUUAGGUAUUUUGGUGAGAGGAACAACGAUAGGAUGAUGAGAGAUGAACUCGAUCUUGAUUCUCACAAAUUCAUCAUAAUCCAUUGGAUCAAGUGAGAACAAUUGGGUUGUUUCUCUAAUAAUGAUAUUGGUUGAGGAAGAUGAAGCAGACCCUUUUGAAGCUUUGUUCUUUGUUACAGGUUUUGAUGAUUCAGGAGCCAUAACAGAUGACUAGGAGGCCAUUGCAGAGAGUGAGAAAAAGCUUAAUGAAUAGAGUAAGGAAGAAAAAGCUCUAAGAAGAUGAUAGCCAAAUUGAAAAGUGGGAAUAUUUAGGAUUCAAAAUCGUUAUAUAUGUUGGAAUUUCCAGGGCGGGUCGAAUAAUUGAAUGAUGACACCCGAGAUCUGAAACGGGUUGCAUUUAAUGCAUAGUCAAAAAGGCUUCCUAUGUGAUAGUUAAUAUUAAAAUGAUAAGAUGUUUGUUUGUUUAAUUUUGGAAAACCAUCGAUUCAGUUCAGAACACUCGAUACUUUUAUUGAAGCAUGUGCCAAAAUCAUGUUUAUUGUGAGUUAAGAAGAUAAUCAUAAAAGAAAUUACCACUAAUAUAAUCACGAGAAAAAGUUUUAGAAUCAGAACUUAAAUGAUAACCUUAAAAUUCAUUUAUUGUUGAGAAAUGUCAUAAGAUGCUUCAGAAAGAAAUGAAACUCAUCAUUGGUACAUGAUAUAGAUUUGGAUAUGACACAAUCUCUAAACAAAUAUUAGAGGUAGCAAUUGCACGAAGAUCUUAGAGGAAAGUUUUUGAACAAGAUAUUUGAAAUUCCUAGAACUAAAGGAAUAGAACUCGGAAAGGGAUAAGUGAUGAAAUCACAUUCCCAUGUCGGAUUUGAAUUACGACGCGUACUUCAUUGAAAAUGUUAUGAGGCAAAAUAUUCAAGGUAUCCAAUGUGGUUAUAUCAGACGGAUCUUCAAGUAAGGUAGAAUUCUAAAAAUCUUAAGACUAGAAGAAAAGGUUAGACAAAAGACAUAUAAUGAUCCUUUACCUUUCAAGAAGAAAUAAUUUUUAGAAAAAAAUUAAAUCGAAAUUCUUUGACUUUCUAAUGUUUCCAUUAGAGAGUACAAACUUCUUGAAAGAGUUGAGGAUUAAGCAUCAUAAUUCUCACUUUGUUCAGAAACCCAUUAAAUUUGGUUUCAUCCAAUGCCUUAGUAAAGAUAUCAGAAAUUUCAUCGUCAAAUGGAACAAAAAUGAACUCAGCGUUACCUUUUAGAGCAUGAUAUUUAAUAAAAUGGUAUCGAAUGUGAAUAUGCUUGGUCAUGGAGUGUCGAAUUGGAUUGUGAGAGAUCUAAAUUUCACUUUGAGAUUCGCAAUACAUAGGAAUUUUUUGAAAUCAUUAACCAUAGUCUAGAAGCUGAGAUUUCAUCCAUAGAACUUGUGAGGUGCAGGUUGCAGUAGCGAUGUAUUCUGCUUCGACCGUCGAAAGAGCAAUGCAAUUUUGUUUCUUGGAUUACCAACUAACCACUCUUCCACCCAAAAAUUGAGUCCACCAGAUGUACUUUUUCUAUCAAGUUGAAGUCCUCUACAGUUUGACUCGGAAUAGGCUUGAAGAAUGAAACUUCCAUUAGCAUGAUACAAAAUUCCAAGGUUCUUUGUUCCUUUGAGGUAUCAGAAGAUUUGCUUGACAUCCAAAAGGGGAGACAUAUUAGGAUUAAACUAGAUUCUAGCACACAUACAUGUUGAGAACAUGAUGUCGGGACGACUUUUAGUGAGGUAGAGUAGCGAUCCAAUCAUUCUCCUUUACUUCUUCUCAUCUAUAGCAACACCAGAUGGCUCCAAAAAAAUCUUGUGUCUGAAACCCAUUGGAACCUUUGCAGAGGCACAAGUGUCCUUGGAAUAUUUCUUUAGAAGUUUAGAGAUGUAUUUCUCUUGAUGAAUAAAGAUUCUCCUGUUGGUCUGUUUGACUUGCAGUCCAAAGAAGAAGCUUACUUCACGAUUCAUACUCAUUUGGAAUCGACUAACCAUCAGUUUUGCAAAGUCAGCAACCAUCGUGGGAUCAGUUGACCUAAAAAUGAUAUCAUUGACAUAGAUUUGUACAAACAUAAGAUUUUUCCUGUUGGUUCUUCAGAAUAAUGUAGGUUCGAGAAUUCUUAUUUGAAAAUCGGAAUGCUUCUGAAAAUUAGUGAGAGUCUCAUACUAGGCCGAUGAGCUUGCUUGAGGCCAGAAACUACUUUCUUAAGUUUGUAGCAGUAGUUCGGAUAUGGAAGAUUCACAAACCCAGGAGGCUGUUGAAGAUAUACUUUACUAUCAUGUUCACCAUUGAGAAAAGCACUCUUGAGGUCCAUUUAGUAAACUUUAAAGCCUUCGUGAGCAACAUAAGCAAGAAAGAUUCAGAUUGCUUCAAGACGGGCAACAUGAGCAAAGGUCUCGUCAUAGUUAAGUCCUUCGAUCUGAGUAAAUACUUUAGCUACCAAUAUUUCUUUGUUUCGAAUUAUAACUACAACAUCAUCGAGUUUGUUUCAGAAGACCUAUCUCUUACCAACAAUAAGUUAUCCUGAGGAGGAGGGACAAGAGUCCACACUUCAUUUCUGUCAAAUUAUGCUAGCUCUUCUUGCAUGGUUGUAAUCUAAUCAGAAUGUUCUAAGGCUUCUUUGAUGGAUUUAGGUUUAACCGUUGACAUGAAUGCCAAGAAGUGACACUCAUUUUGAAUGAUAGUAGCAGAGUGAGUUUGAAAUCCAGCGUUGAGAUUUCCAAUUACUUAAUUCGGAUGAUGAUCCUUUAUCAAAAUAUGCAAUCUCGGAAGUUCUUGAAUGGCCGAUGAUCCGAUGUCAAGAAUAGGGUUAUGUUGCUCCCCCUGAACAACUUGAAUUUGAGGAUGAUUUUCCCCCUAAACUUUGGAACAGGAUAUGUCAGCAUCAUUAGAGUUUGGAAAGUCAAAGAAGUAGACAUCAUCUUCAUUGUUGUUCGGAAUUGGAUUAGUUUCAGUGAAUUGAUCUGUUGCAUCUUGAAAUCCAUCUACAUUUUAUUUAAGAGUUGAAUUACUGUUCUCCCCCUCAAUCUUAGAAAGUUGAAAUGCAUCGGAAUCAAAUGGAUGAAAGGUUGGGGUCGGAUCAAAAACAUUUUGAGAAACGAGAGUGGCAAAUGAGAACUAUCAUUAUCGAGAUUUUGAAUCAAGAGUUGUUUCUAUUUGUCCGAACAAGCUUUCGAAGUCAACUUCAUAGAUAAUUUGAGGAUUCGGAGACCCAGGCGGUUGAGAAUUGGGCUCCAUGCUAUGUGUUGUAACAUGAGUAGGCACUGAGUUCUAAACAAAUUUAUCAUCAAAAGUAAUAUCAAAUAUUUCUUCAAUUACACGAGCUCUACGAUUCAAACUCCGUAAGCUUUAGAUUUGGAUGAGUAUCCCAAAAAGAUAGCUUUAUCUAAUUUUGGUUGAAACUUUUUGAGUUGAUCAUAAUUGUUUUUGAUAAAACAUCUACAUCCAAAAAAAAUACAAAAAUGAGAUGCUCGACUUUCAACCAUUCAUUGCUUCAUAUGGUGUCAUGUUGAGACAACGGUUGAUGAUGCUUCGAUUUUGAGUGAAGCAGGCUAUAGAGACGGCUUCGGGCCAAAGAAAAAGAGGAAGGUUUACAAGUCUGACAUCGAAUGAGCGAAUUCAACUAGAUUUUGAUUUCUUCUUUCAACAACACCGUUUUGCUGAGGAGUGUAGGGAGCAUAGAAAUUAUGAUUGAUGCCUUUGUCAAUAAGAAACUUUUCAAUUGUGGCAUUUUGAAGUCUAAUCAAAACUUCAAUGCCUUUGAUGAAAUUUAUGAGCUCCGAGGUGGUUCCAAACUUUAGCCUUAAAAAGAAUACCCACGUGAACCUUAUGUAGUCAUCUACAAUCACAAGGAUGUACUUUUUGUGAUCUAGGCUUUCUACGACAGAUGGUCCAUAGAGAUCUAUAUGAAGAAGUUCAAGUGGUUCAUAAAUGGAUUUUUCAAUCAAAACAUGAUGUCCUUUCUUUGAUUUCUUCCCACAUUCACACGCAAUGUGGAGAUGAUUGUUUUCAAAUUUCAGAAGAGGCAUACCUCAGACCAUUCCACCAGCAACUAGAUCAUUCAUGUAUCCGAAGUUGAGAUGAGCAAGCCUCUGAUGCCAUAACCAACUAAUGUCAGGAAGGACUUUUUAUAGAAGACAUAGUUGAGGCUUUAUGAUGAUCAUGUUGAUGUCUAAAGGAUACAUAUUCUUGAUGUGAUCUGAUUUGAUGAGACAUUCUUUUUGCUCUUUUGUCAUGACGUAGCUAUGCUUCUUGCAGAAUUCAACCCUCUGAUUUGCGUUAGUUAGUUGAUCCAAACUGAUUAGAUUAUGUUGGAGAUUAGAUACGUAAGCCACAUUGGAGAUAGAAAAAUUACCAUUGGUCAGGAUUCCAUAACCCUUAAAUUUGAGAGAUUGAAUUGUUUCCAUAAGUAACAUAACCAACAUUUAGAGUAAGUUUGAGAUCACGUAGAAAAUAUUUAUGUCCAUUCAUAUGCAUGGAUCAAGCACUAUCAAUAUACCAUAUUCUAUCUUGUUCUGAAGCACAAAAAGCCUAUAAAAUCAGUGAGUUUUGGAGUUUUUAGGCUCCAAGUUAGAUUUAGGGACUUUAGCAUGUGCUUUAGACUUGGUUGGUGAUUUUUCAACAACUAGUAUCUCAGAGUGCUUUUUCUGAGAUUCCUUUGGAAAGAUGCAGAAUGUUAGAUUCCUUUUAUUUAUCCAAAAAUAAUAUUCAACCAUUGGUUUUUUGGGCACUACUUUCUUCGGAAGAACAUUUUUCUGAGAUGUUACUGGAAGAAUUAUGUUCUGAGGUGUUUCAAUUGAGUUUUCAUAUUUUUUAACUUUCCAUUCUAAAUUUUGUUUUGAACCUUUAGAAGGUUUCUGAACAUCAUUAUUUCAAAAAAAAUUUCCUUUGUUCACUUUAUUUAUAGGCACAUUUGAUUUUGGAAAUUGUUCUGGUUUAAAAAUCAUGUCAUCCGAGGUAGCAAUAAAAACAGAGAAGAUGCUUUCCGAGGAUAGUUAAUUUUCAUAGAUAAGGUCUUAAUAGUAACAUUCUUCACACCAUUGACACAUGUAUUACAAAUGUCCGAAUUAACAGAAACAUAUGGUCUCUUAAGAAUCUUAACAGGCAUGAAAGUAUUGUGAUUCCCAGUAGCUGGAUUAAUUGUUUGAGGCGUUUUCUUCUCGGAUUUAUCAAGGAGCCUAGCGCAUUUCCUAGACCAAGUUUCUUUUUCAAGAGCUUUCUUAGCUUCGGUCUUUGUUUGAACAAUGUCUUUCUUGUUCAUCCAAGGUUUCUUCUGCGUGUCAGAUGAUGAUUUGGAAGUUUGUCCAGCUGAUGGAUUGUUGAAAAGAGGUUUAAUUGGCACUAGAGUCAAUUUUGAAACCACAUUAGAGUUGGAGACAUAGGAAUCAGACGAGGUGUUGUUAUCACUCUUAAGUUCUACAUCAUUAUCCAAGGACGCCCAAAUGGAAUUGAAUUGUUCUGAGUCAUGCCCGUUUGUCUCAGGAAUGAUUUUUUCAAUAACACAAUUGUUCGGAGGACCAAAGUUUUGAACACAAACUCCAGUAUUGCUUGUGUUAUUUAAGGGUUUUGAAGACUGAUUCAGCUCUGGGGAUAUCAGAGACGGAAAUUGCAUGGAAUCAGCACACGUAAUAGGGAUCGGUUUGAACUCAGGGAUCAAUGACUGAUAUUUUUCUGAGGUCUCACGAAGGGACGAAAGUGGUGAUACAGGGGUAUUCGAAUAAGUGUGUUUCAGAAUAUCUCCCAUAAACAUUAAGUUUUGAAGUUUCUUCAGAGACGAACUACUGGCUUCGGAAACUCGCUUCCAAGACCAGGUGCUUUGGACCAUGGAUGACGAAAAUUAUGUGUCAUUCUUUCAUUAGCUUCAAGAAUAUCGAUCGAAUUAUGCAAGGCAUCAAUUUUUGCAUUGAGACGUUUAUUCUCAGUAACUAGGAUAUUUAUUUCACUAUUUAAGAUUUCACAUUUGUCAUUCAAAAUAAUACAAUCAUCCUAAGCCAUUGCAAGUUCUCUUUCUAAUGAUUCGAUCUUAAGCUUGUGGUCUUCAAAACGUAAUCUAAGUCUAGUCAACUCACUAUCUGUAACAACCGAAAAGUACAACCAAUUUUAAAUUUUUCAAAAACAUCUCGAUUCCAUUAAAUCUUUACAAAAAGGUUUUCAAUACAAAACAUUUAACGUGUUCCCAGAAUCACAAUACUACGAAAUCAUGAGGAGCGGUACGAUCACGCCUUCGCCUUGCCACAGUCUCUUGAAGAACCUGAAAAACAUGAAACCACAACUGUAAGCCCGAAAGCUUAGUGAGAUAUCCCCAAAAUACCAACCACAAUUACCAUACACGCAUAACAUGCCAUAACAUAUCUGAUCACAGAACAACCAUGCACUUCGGGUCUACUGUGUGACUGGUCCGCCGCACCGGCCUACAGUCCACCUGGUCCACCCUCUGAGUCUAUCCACAUACAUCGAGUCUGCAGUGUGAUUGGUCCGCCCGCUCCCGGGCCUUCAAUCCACCUGGUCCACUCUCUGAGUCNCCACUCGCUGAGUCUACAGUAUGACUGGUCCGCCCGCACCGGGCCUUCAGUCUAUCUGGUCCACUCUCCGAGCCUUCGGCACGUCUGGUCUGCCCUUUCGGGCCUACAGCCUAUCUGGACCUCUCGCUGGGCCUUCGGUACAACCAGUCCGCCCUGGGUAUCUUGGCCUACAGCACACAGCAGGACCCGCCUCAACCCAACUCCAUUCCAAACAACCAUGUGCACAUAUACAUACAAUCAUAUAGCAACUCACAGUCAACAAGCAGAUCAAACAGAUCACAUAGCAUAUCAUCAUCCUAACCAGGAUACCGACCUAACAGGUCACUAGCAUAGCAUCUCCCUAUCUCUCAGGAUACCGAUCUCAAUCAGGUCUCUAACAUAUACCAUCCUAGCUCUCAGGAUGCAAACAUAUCAUAGCAACAACAUAACAACAACUACCCGGAUCUCAAUCCGAUAAGGGCCGGCCUUGGUGCCUUAGACCCUGUUGAUAUAGUGAGGAUAACUCACCUCGAAACUGCCGGCUGAAAGGAUAAGAUCCCGCUGCUCCAAGCUCCGACACGAACUCCUCCACUGAACACCAACACACUCAACUCAAUAAAUACCCUUAAUUACCAAAAUACCCCUGAAAGACAACUGGUCAACCUUUGGACAAGGUCAAAGUCAACCCCUGACUGACUCUACUCGCCGAGUCAACCCGAUGACUCGCCGAGUCCCCAUACUCAGAACUUCCCUCAAUCCGCGACCUAACUCGCCGAGUCACCCCGAGACUCGUCGAGUCCAACAACUCUGAGUCCACUCGCCCACAACUCACCGAGUCAUCCCUUGACUCGCCGAUUCUUGACUCAACCAGAAAAUAUUGGGACUCUUCGACAAGACUCGCCGAGUCCAAGAACAGACUCGCCGAGUCUAAGGCUAUCUUCAACCUACUCGCCGAGUUGUUCAUACAACUCGCCGAGUUCCAGGCCAUCUUCAUCCAACUCGCCGAGUUGUUCUUCCAACUCGUCGAGUUCCAGCUCAUCUUCAAGCAACUCGUCGAGUCCACCCAUGUGACUCGCCGAGUACCACCGGUCUGAAUCCAUACAGAAGCAUUCCAGGCCAUGCAAUUGAUCCAAAACAUAGAUCUAGCCUCCUACAACUCAUCCAUCACAUAAAGUGGCAAACUUUACGUGAAUCCAAAGAUAUCUAGGCCAUUUGCACAUUGGGCUAGGGUUUGUGACAUGAUGGCUCCACUAAACACUCCAACACAGGGACUUUCAUGCUCUCUUAUCCUUCUCCAUUCCAGAUCUGAGGUAGCAACCUCAGAUCUAUCCUCUAGACUCCAAUUACAUCCAAAGACAAGCUCCCCACAAACCCCAAAAUGAAGAAACAACAUAACAACAGCCCAAGAACGAGAUAUUACCUCCAAAGAACGUCCCAACUGCAAUGAAAUUUGAAUCCAAGCAAAGCCCCUUGCUCUAAGCCUCUCCUUCUCUAGAAUCUCUUCCACAAUCACCUCUCCAAGAUCCAAUUUGCUCAACAAUGGUGCUUCUCCACGAUUUUAGGGUUUCUGGGACUCAAGGGGAAAUAAAGAGGCUGAGAGAGGGCUGUCAUGUUCUUUAUAUAGGGCUCAACCCCGAGAAUUAGGGUUUUCUCCACUCAACGCCUACUCACCGAGUCGGCUACUUAACACGCGACCCAGUCGUGACUCUACUCGCCGAGUCCACCCAUGGACUCGCCGAGUCGCUCUUUCCCAAUUUACUCUUUUAGCCCUUCUACUCUACUCUUGAUAGUUCGGGAUGUUACACUAUCCAACUUCUCAAUAACUUCUAUGGUAGACUCAUACGCUUUAUGGAUAUCUGUCAUAUCUGAUUGAAUUUGAGUUAGAUAAGGUUCACAAAUAGAUAAAUCAAAUUUAUUAUCACUAAUCAUAGAAUUUACCUGUUGAAUGAUGCUUCAAGCAGGUGGAUCAUUUGUUGUCAUGUAGCAAUAUUUUGGCUCAGCAUCGCCAUCAUCAGUUUCCGAACCAGAUGACCAAUAAACCUUGUAACAUCCCGACUCCCAAGUAUGAAUUUUAAGAAUCUUUGUACAUCACAUAAGAUCUACUCGAUGAGUUAGAGUUCCCAACUCGUCGUGUAGAAACUAAUAAGGCCGCGUGGAUUAUGGAACCUACUCGACGAGUUGGAGGAUCCCAAAUCGACGAGUUGAGGUUGUGCAUGAAAACCCUAAUUUUUAGGGUUUGCACCCUAUUUAAAGUACCUUAAGCCCCCUCACCAGCCUCCCUUACCACCUUAUUGUCUAGAUAGAAACCCUAGUUAUGCUUUAUUACUUUCUUGAGUGUGUGUGAGCUUUGGAGAGUAAAUCUUGUGUUCUUUUGGAGGAAACUAGAAGUUUGAACAAGUUGGAUUGCAUAGAAGGCCUUAGAUCCGGGAGCUUCACGAUUUUUGCAACCAUUUGGAGGUAAAAAUUCGCCAUAUUGAUCACUCCUUUGUUAGAUCUCUCCAUUAGAGAGUUCAUGGUCAUUUCUAGCUUAUUCUUGAGUCAUUCUUGGUUUGAGCAUGCUUUGAAGUUAGGACUUCAGAUCUGAGCAUCUUAGGGUCUCCUUGGACUUAAAUUUGCCAAUUUUGUUAAGUCUUGGCCCUCCUUCAUGCUCUAAAACCCAUAAUAAGCUUCAUAUGAGUGAUUUAAUCCCAUUGAUGCCUUGCAUGCAUGUAAAUUUAGUAACUUUGUGUGGUAUCUCAUUCAUAAGGGGCUAGAUCUGUAGUUUGGGUCCUUGGAUUCGACUAGAAAGGGCUAAAUAAGUUACUACAUGAAAACUCGACGAGUUGCUUAGCCAACUCGACGAGUUGGAUAGGGUUUCCUGCUUCUUGGACAAUGAGUGAACUCGACAAGUUAAUAAGAUGACUCAACGCAUUGGUUGAGUUUUUCACUGGUGUUCUGGACACUAAAGAACUCGACGAGUUGCUUUGGCAACUCGGUGAGUUAUUUCGAGCUUUUCACGAUCUUCUGAGAUACGAAGGAACUCGACGAGUCAGUAUAUGCACUCGAUGAGUUGGGUCAACAUGGACUAUUGACCUUGACAGUUGACUUUGACUUUGACCAUGGUUGACCAAGUUUGACUUCCUGAGGGUAUUUUGGUAAUUUAGGAUUAUAAUGGAAUUAGUCAUAUGGUGGUUACAAGCAGUUGAGUUCGGAUUUGUGAGUUGAGAUUCGAUUUUUAUCGGUUCAGCACUACUUGUGAGGUUUCCUCACUAUACUUAGGGGUCGAAGGCACCAAGGCCGGCCUAUUGGAUUGAUAUCCUGAUAGUUGAUGAUGUGCUGAGUGUGAGUUACAUAUGCAUGAUAUCUGGUAUAUUUGAAGGACUACAUGUGAUACUCUCUGAUUAUAUGUAUGUGUAUUUAGUUAUUACAUGUCGACAUGUUGUGUGGGUGGAGUUGAGGUUGUACUGCUCUGUGCGGUAACCAACAAACCCUAGAGUAUGCCAGAUAUGAGCUGAGGGCCAGGGAGAGCAUGCCAGACUCAUACUAAGGACUCUUAAGCAUUCCAGAUGCAAGUUGAGGGCAAGGGGAGCAUGCCAGACUCACACUGAGGGCUAAUCAUUUAUAUUCCAGUCUUAGGACUGAAGGGGCAAGCCAAUCAUAAGUCGUGGGCUCGAGAGCAGGCCAUACUUAUAUUGUGGGCUUGGGAGCAAGAAAGAUGUGAGUUAUGGGCCUAUAAGGUAGGCCAGACUCAUAAUGUGGGCUCGAGGGUAAUCCAGUCUGUAAAGCUGUGGGCCCAUUACAUGUUGUAAUUAUGUGUGUUGUUUGUUAUGUAUCAGUAUUUUGUGGGAACUCACUAGGCUUCGGGCUUACAGUUUUGGAUUUUGAUUUGGGUACUUUGGAUGAUCGCGGGAAGGCGAAGGCGUUAUCGUGCACCUCCUCACAUUUUAUGAUAUUGAUUUAUGGGAUUCUCUGAUAUGAAACAAUUUUGAAAACAUUUUGUAAUAAAUAAUGGCUUUUGGAUGCUUGAAAAAGUUAAAAUUUUUGUGAAUUUUAUGGAUGUUACAAGUUGGUAUCAAAGUCGUGGUUUGAGCAAAUUGGAGGAACACUCGUAUGAAUCCAGUCUCAAACUAAGGAAAUGAUUUUCAAAUGGUUUUCACAAUACUAAAGGAGGAUGCAGAGUGUACGAUCAGCCGAAGCCAGUAAGUAGACCCCAAAAUACCAUACAGUUAUUUGAUAUUGUGAUAUGUUAGAACGACAUGCGAGUGAUAGGCUAGGGAUCUUAUAGAAUGCAUGAUAGAAUUUCUUGAUUAUAUGAUGCCUAAUAGCCUAGGGGUUUCUUAUAUGAAAUUGACAUCAUUAUUUUAGUUGCUUAGUGUAUGCAUCAUAGUUGUACAUAACUAUGACCUUAUAGCCUGAGAAUGUUCGGUUUGGCCUUAUUUCCUGUUCUUUUUUGAUGAAUGGGUGGGAUCAGAUAUUCGAAUAUCUAUUGGGUCCAACAUUAUGUAUAGCUAGUAUACACGAGUGUUGCAGGGUUGGUGGAAGUUUGAUGGAUGAGUUGUGCGGGGUCAGUUAGCCAGUUGUGAAACGUUUAGCCUUCCUCUAGGAGUGAGGGUUGAGCGCUUGCCUAUGCUUAUGUACAUUGUUAGGGUGUCGUGAUGAUCCUUGAGACAAAUAUUGGUAGGUGUGGAAGAUAGUAUGGGCCCGUACUACUGAAAGCACAGGACCCAUACACAUAGCAAGGAAGUCACAACCCCUAGGGUUUAUUUGGGAGUUAGUUCCCUGUUAUUAUAUGGAGUAUCUAAUAUCUUUUCGACGUAUUUUCAGAAUGGUGACUACAAGGCGAUUUGAGACCGGAUCCAGAUCAGGAUCAGGAGCUAACAGUCAGGGCGGGCCAGCAGUUGUGAUAAGGAGCACUGGUCAGAUGAGACCAGAGGAGUUGGAUGCUAGGAUUCGGGAGAUCAUACAGGAUGAGGUUGAUGCACUAUUGUGUGCAUAGUUGUCGGAGAUGUUUGGGUCUAUGACGACUGCCAUGGUCGAGUACUUCGAUGAGCGCUAUGCAACCAUAGCUGAGACAGCUGACGCUGCAGCCUCCGCAGUCGUAGCAGUUGCAGGUACGGGAACAGGUCGAGCCUUUCAGUACCGAGACUUCGAUAACACAAAGCUCCUGAAUUUUGAUGGGAUUCUGGACCCGGUCAUAGCCAUGAGGUGGCUAUCUGACAUUGAGGAAUGCUUUUUCAAAUGCUCAUGUCCUACUGACCAGAAGGUCAGGUGUGCUUUGAACCUGCUAAGGUCCGGAGCAAAGGACUGGUGUAGAUUGAUGACGGGGUUGUAUUCUGAUGAGCAGAGAGUUGCGGUUACUUGGGAUCAGUUCAGGGAGAUGUUUCGCACUCGCUACAUUCUGCGGGUUGAGCGAGAGCAGCUGGCACAAGAGUUUUUCGAGUUGAGACAUGGAUUGGAGUCGGUGACGGAGAUCACCCGUAUGUUUACUGAGAGGGAGAUAAUUUUGCUCGGAGUUUGCUUCCGAGUAGGCACAGAUGACACGUUAUCUGAGCAUGCUCAACACUGACAUCAGACGGUUUGUUGCUACCCAACGAUGUGAUACAUUACUAGAGUUAUAGGAGGCCGCUAGGUAGCGUGAGCUUGAGAUUGAGUUACUAUUGAGAAAGAAAAGGUAGGCCUCGGCGCCGAAGCGGUCCAAGACCGCUAAUUCAAGUUAUGAAGGUCAGCGCGACCACACUUGUGGGAAGUGCGGGAAGGCUCAUUCUGGGGUUUUUCGAUCUAGUACUCGGUGCACAAAUUUGGCAAGGAGGGGAAUUAUGCGAGAGACUGUCAUCAGUCUGGCCCGGUUCCGAGUGUGAGGAUCUGUUACAAUUGUGAUCAGGUUAGCCACAUGAAGGCCAACUGUCUGUUGCUCACCGCCAAGCCAGUGCAGGCUCCUGCGCCAGCUACAUUGAGGAUCAAUGACAGGAGUCAGGGUAAAGCAGAGCCCCCGAGGGCUCGGGGACCUGCAUUCCAUCUCACAGCCGAGGAGGCAAGGACAGCACCAUAUGUGUUGGCCGAUAUGUUUCUAUCCCUUAUCUUAUUGAAUAUGUUUAUUUUUUGCUCAUAUAUGGUGUACCUAUGUUAGGUACAUUCUUAGUGAAUUCCUUUCCUGCUCUGGUAUUGUUUGACUCGGGGGGGGGGGGGGUUUGGGGUUUUUGNUAGUAGGGAUGUCGAUUUGCCUUUAGGAGAGCUAGAGUGUCUGUUGCGAGUCUCCAUCGCCAACGAACACGAGAUUUAUGUGCUUCAUUCUAUCACGGUUGCGAACUAGAGAUCUUCAGGGUUUCCUUUCCAAUUGACUUGAAUCUGAUUCUCAUGGGGAAGCUUGUGAGAUAGUGGGUAUGGACUGGCUGAGUCGCUUUGGUGCCAUGAUCGACUACGAGUGUCAGCAUGUGGUAGUUCGAACCCCAAGUGGCGGAGAGCUGGUUAUCUAUGGUGAGGGCACCAGGUUGGGUUCAGGGUUUUGCUCAGCCGCCAGGGCUCACCAGUACAUUCAGCACAAGUGUGCGGGUUAUUUGGCAUAUGUGGUGGAUACGUGGGUUGUGGAUCAGGUCUUGGUUUCAGAGGUUCCAGUUAUUAGGGAAUUCGUUGAUGUGUUUCCGGAGGAGUUACCCGGAAUGCCUCUGGAGAGGCAGGUCGAGUUCAAGAUCGAUCUUGUGCCAGGUGCGGCCCCUAUCGCCAAGGCGUCGUACCGAUUGGCACUGCCUGAGAUGCAGGAGCUAUCGUCUCAGCUACAUGAGCUAUUAGGCAAGCAUUUCAUUCAUCCGAGCAGUUCUACGUGGGGAGUGUCGAUUCUCUUCAUCAAGAAGAAGGAUGGUUCACACCGGAUGUGCAUCGAUUACCGGGAGUUGAACAAAUUGACAGUGAAGAACCUUAUCCACAUCCCCAUAUUGAUGGUCUCUUUGAUCAGCUAUAGGGAUCAUAUUGGUUCUCCAAGAUAGACUUGAGGUAUGGGUACCAUCAGGUUAGGGUGAGGGAAGAGGACGUGGAGAAGACCGUGUUCCGGACUCGUUACAGACAUUACGAGUUUAUAGUGAUGUCGUUUAGGCUCACCAACGCGCUGACAGUAUUCAUUCAUCAGAUGAAUCGGGUAUGCAGGUCGAUGCUCGAUCGCUCAGUCAUCAUGUUCAUAGAUGAUAUCUUGGUGUGACAACCCGAAAUUUCUAUUCUGUACAACUUUUCCAUUCAAUAGAAGUCAGAACAGUUACUGUUAAUUUUCAAACUUUUUAGAAUAAGUUUGAGUAUUUUAGGAUUAACAGUUUAGGAGAUAUCAGGAGAGAGGAUGCACUAGGGUUUAUUGUGAAACAAUAAUGUCCUGACACAUCAAAAUAUAUGAGUUUAUGGCCUAAACAAUGGUGUUUAUAGUCGUAAAACCCAAGGAAGGGAGUAUAUAAGUGACACUUAGUCAUUUGUAUCAUUUUUCCAAACUUUCAAGAACAAAUCCAAAACUCUCUCAAGUAUCAUCCAAGUUUUCUUCAAGAUCUUCAAUCUAGUAAGUGUUUCUAGCCCUUUUAAGUUAGUAUAUCACUUAAUCUAGUGAUUUUACACACAUCUAUCCGUUAGAUCUUUCCAAAAGGGUGAAUCUUCAAGUGUCACCAGGAACACCAAGAACACACACUAGUGUUCUUGGACUUUUGGCUCAAUUCAAGCUUCUAGAUUGUAAGUACUUCUAUCCUAGAGUAUGUUUCAGCUUGUUACACUUCAUUACAUCAAUAAAAACACCAAGAAACACCAAGAUCAAUGUGUUUACGGUCCAAGGUGUUCUUGGACCAUAAACCCCUCUUUAGGGGCCAAAGUGACCCUAGUCCCUUCCUAUACCUUAGUAACUAUCAUGGAUCCCUUCAUUGAUAUGUUAAGGACUUGAAAACAUCAAAAUACCAUAUUCCAUGAGGGUUUAUUAAACCCAAAGGGAAAUGGUCUUAGGGCCGUAAACUCCUCAAAGGAGGGAAAUGGUGCCCUAACUUCUUCCAUAGGCUUAUACUUCAAAGGGAAACACUUCUAAAGACUUGGAAACCCUCAAAUCAUCAAAUGGUCAAAGGGGUGUGAGUUUAUGGCCGUAAACUCAUGGGUUUACGACCAUAAACUCAUGGAGUUAUGGUCACAAAACCGUAAACUCAAGAAAGGGGUUCUUUUGAACCCUAAACCCAAUAGCUUUGUCCUACAACACUUAGAUGCACUCCUUGGGACUUAUAACACUUAUAUAAGGUGUUUAACUUGUCUUAGGAUGUGUUAACCUUGUUAGUUAGUUGUUUAAAGACUAAUUGGAUACAUAUAUGUGUAUUUAUAUGUUAACUAGGACCAUUAUGUGUGUACAAGUCUUCACUUGGCACCUAGCAAUCCUAUUUCUUCAGUUCAUCCAUACCACUCACUACAGGUGAAUUUAUACCCCUUAAAUUGAUCUUUUAAAUGUUUUUAACUGCUUUUAUGGGCGGGGGGAAUACAACUUGAACAAUUAUAGUUAUUAUAUCAAUCACAUGUGAUUAAUAACUACCAAACAAGUGGUUUUCUUACUUUUCAAACUGUUUACCGAACUGUUUUACCUCAAACUGUUUUAUAAACUCUUUUACUUGUCAAAUACUUUUACUUAAACUGUUUUAUACUUAUAUAUUGUCAAAUGCCUGCCUAUAUAUGUAUAGUUAUAUAAGUAAUGUUUAAAGGACUUAGGAAGGCUAGCUCGCUUUAAUUCCUUUUCCUUGUUUGGAUGUGGCUUUAGGGCAUCGACUAUCCGUCCGAAGGUAUUUUAAAUAUUAAUUGUAUAUCCUGUAUACAUAUAUAGUCAUAAAAGCUCUUUCAUUCAGAUCCAUACCUCUGGGUAGCAAAGGUAUACAAACAUGUUCAUACAUGGCUAGUAAGCUACUAUAGGAGUAGUUUAGGAAGACACUAAUACUAAUACUAGAACAAUGAAACAUACAAUGAGUCAGUUCAUACAUGAGUCAAUAGAUACAGAGUGAUGAGAAACAAACAUAAUACUAUGAUGAGAAACAAACAAUAGACACUAUGAUGAGAAACAAACAAUAGACACUAUGAUGAGAAACAAACAUACAGGCUAGACAGAGAAAGAACACACAAUACAGCUAGCACAUAAAUCCAUUACAUAUACAUUUAUACAUUUAUGUGAGCCAUUAAACGGGGCAUGGCACUACCUGCCAUGACUGUUUUUGUAUCAAAAUCUCCUUAAUUGGGGACUAUAUGAGUAUGUGUAUAGAUCUAUACUGGAUUGACUAUCCUACACCUUGUUGCUCGCUAUAGUGGGACUUGCAAGUCUACGGGUGCCAAACGUCAUUUCUUACGGCGUGUUACAUCGUCGUUUUACUAUUGAGUCGGUAGCAAGAUACAAGCCGAUCACAUGGUACCUUAAAUAACAAUUGGCUUAAGGUAGUUAGUACAGUAGUAGUUACUUAAUACAACACUACAGUACUAUAAUAUUAUUCCCAUUACAUUCACUUCGUGAACAUUCACACGAUGCACGAUAAUUUAGAAACUAUAUUUUUGGUUAAUGAUAGUCAAAUUUGGGAAAAUACACACUCUUACAAGAGACACACAUAGAUACUAGAUGCCUUGGUAGAAGGCUACUUUUAGUAGGAAACAUAGGGUUUUCUAGGAGUGUUCAAACAAAUUCAAAACUUUUACAAACAUGCACAGUACAUUUACAAAACAUCUUACAAAUGCUUUCAUACAAACAUACACUAAUAUACUUAUGAUCUCACCAGCCUUAAAGCUGAUAAACUCUUUCAAAAUAACUUGUAUUCUCAGUUCACCAGUAGACAUGUACCGGAGCCAGGUUUUGUGAAGAUGGAGUUCGUUCAAGACUCAUCUUAUAUUUUUGAUGUAUAUUGUUUUUGGUGUCUAUAUAACUUGAUAGAAAACACUUGUAUGAAAUUAUAUUAUUAAUGCAAUGGAUGAUGUUGUUGCUUGUUUACUACUUUGCAUUGUUGUGAUACUGCACAUGACGUCCUCCACCCCAGAACGUUUUCGUCGUUCAAUAGGUUUUGGGGUGUGACACUUGGUAUAUUCCAAGACCAGAGAGCAGCAUGAGGGGAAUCUCUGUGAGCUAUUGGGAGUCUAGAGGUGAGAACGGAUGUAUGUCAAGUUCUCGAAAUGUGAGUUUUGGUUGCGAGAGGUUCAGUUCCUUAGACAUCUCGUUAACCAGUAAGGGAUUUUGGUCGAUCCGGCCAAGAUCGAGGCGGUUAUGCAGUGGGAGGUUUCGAAAUCUCCCUCGGAUAUCAGGAGCUUCUUGGGAUUGGCAGGGUACUAUCAGAGAUUCAUACAGGAUUUCUCCAAGAUUACAAUACCCCUCACUCGUCCGACGAGGAAGGAGGUGGAUUUUUGAUGGGGCCCUAAGCAGCAAACUGCAUUUGAGACUCUGCGACAGCGACUCUGCGAGGUGCUAGUUUUGACACUCCCUGAGGGAGUUGAGGAUUUCGUGGUGUUCUGUGAUGCACUGGUCACCAGAUUAGGAGCAGUCCUCAUGAGACGAGAUAUCCCACACAUUAUCUGGAGUUAGGAGCGGUGGUAUUCGCACUCAAGAUUUGGAGACAUUAUCUCUACGGGGUCCGUUGUACCAUAUACACAGACCAUAAGAGUUUGACACAUGUCAUGGAUCAGCCAAACCUGAACAUGAGGCAGCACAUGUGGCUGGACAUAGUCAAGUAUUAUGACUGCGAGAUCCUUUACCAUCUGGGUAAAGUGAAUGUGAUGGCGGACGCCCUGAGCUGCAAGUCGGCUGGAUCUUCUGUUCCAGCAGCAUGUAUGAGGAUAUCAAUGGAUUCUCCACUUGUGAGCUUGAUCAGGGAUGCUCAGGAGGGAGGUGUUUGACAAGAGAACUGGAAGCUGGAGAGGAUUAAGGGCGAGAUCACCAGAUUCGUGUAGGAUAGUCGGGGAUUUUUAACCCGUUGUGUUCGGGUAUGGGUUCCGAUGUCUGGUGGGGUCAUACAAAUUGUACUGGAGGAGGCUCAUAAGCUUCGUUUCUCUAUUCACCCGAGGGACACCAAGAUUUACCGAGAUCUGAGAAUGAGUUACUGGUGGUCGUGCAUGAAGAGUGAGAUCGCCUGGUACAUUAAUAGGUGCUUGACCUGCAGGUUGGUCAAGGACGAGCAUCAAAGGCCACAUGGAAAAUUGCAGCCUCUAGAGGUUCCCAUGUGGAAUUGGGAACAGAUCACGAUGGACUUCAUCACCAAAUUCCCGAGAACGACAAAGGGUUUCGACGUUGUUUGGGUCAUCGUGGAUCGAUUGACCAAGAGUACCCAUUUUCUGCCCAUUCGGGAGAGCUCAUCGGCCGAGAAACUGGCCGAUGUGUAUAUUCGCGAGAUCGUUGCUCACCAUGGGGUUCCGAUCUCUAUCAUUUCAGACCAUGAUGUUCAGUUCACCUCCCAUUUCUGGCAGAAGUUCCACGAGGAACUAGGCACGCGGCUGCAUUUCAGUAUAUCUUAUCAUCCGUAGACAGACGGCCAGAGUGAGCAGACCAUACAGACUCUUGAGGAUAUGUUGCGGGCCUGCGUUAUUGACUUUGGUGGGAGUUGGGACUCAUACCUACCUCUUACGGAAUUCUCUUACAACAACAGCUUUCAUUCCAGCAUUGGUGCUCCGCGUUUUGAGCUGUUGUAUGGACGGAGAUGUUGUACCCUAGUCUGUUGGGUUGAGGUUGGUAAUAGGGCGAUGGGUCGGACUAAGGUGGUUCUGCAGAGUAGAGAGAUGAUUCACCAAAUUAGGCAGUGGUUGCAGACUGCUCAAAGUCGACAGAAGAAUUACGCUGACCGACGCCGAUCUGAAUUGGAUUUUCAAGUGGGUGACAUGGUACUACUGAAGUUCUAACCCUGGAAGGGUGUGAUUCGCUUCAGGAAGAGGGGGAAGUUGGGUCCCCGAUACAUUGGACCCUUUUGGAUUAUUACCACGGUUGGCAAGGUGACGUAUAGACUGGGUCUCCCAAAGGAGCUCGGUCAGAUUCACAACACUUUUCACGUUUUACAAUUGCAAAAGUGCAUAUUGGAUGAGGAUACAGUGGUUCCAUUGGAUGAUAUUCAAGUCGAUGAGCGCCUGAAUUACGUGGAGAGGCCAAUGGCCGUUCUAGAUAAAAAGGUGAAGGUUGUGCGUAAAAAGGAGGUACCUUUGGUAAAGGUACAAUUGGAGCAUUGGAGGGGAUUCGAGUGGACUUGGGAGCCGGAGGCUGAGAUGCGGGAACAUUAUCCAGAGUUUUUCACCGCAGCAGACUUCGAAGACGAAGUCUAGUUCAAGUGUGGGAGAAUUGUAACAUCCCAACUUCCUGGUAUGAAUUUUAAGAAUUUUUGUACAUCACAUAAGACCUACUCGACGAGUUGGAGGCCCCAACUCGUCGUGUAGAAACUAAUAAGGUCGCAUGGAUUAUGGAACCUACUUAACGAGUUGGAGGAUCCCAACUCGACGAGUUGAAGUUGUGCAUGAAAACCGUAAUUUUUUCGGUUUUCACCCUAUUUAUAGGACCAUAAGUCCCCUCACCACCUUAUUGAUGUGUUUUGAGCACUACGUCAUUCCUAUGGUGUACAUGCAACCCUAACGCUUUAAGUUUUUCUCAAGUUAUACAUGCAUGUCAAAUCAUCCAAAGCAUGAAACCUAACUAGCAUAAAAUUUUCGAUAUUUAUAUGAUAAAAGAAAUUUAGAAGAAUACAUUUUCCUUGUAGCUUGUAGAUCUUGACCUUCAAGAGCUUAGUGCCUCAAUUGUUUCACCUCUAGUGAGUCACAAACACAAAGUAGCAAUUGGAAGAAUAUGUGAGAGGUGGGAAGGAUCAAAAAUCGGCUAGGGUUUCCUCUUAGGAUGUUGUGGCCGAUUUUAACCAUCCUAGGGGUUCCUUAUAUAACUGAGUUGCUAGGGUUUCUGACUGGAACUCUAAUUCUUUGCUUAGGCCUUAAGAAACCUAGUAGAUCCUUCUAGAAGCCCCCUUUGGAUGAAAUAUGUAACGCCCGCAAAUCCGGGCUAGUCAAAUUGGAGGCAAUAGGGGUCGAAAACGACUUUUCGACAAACGAUUAUUUAUAAUAAAUAAUCUUAACCAAGUUUUAGAAUAUGUCACAAGGUUUCCGUACAUAUAAAGAACGCCGAAAUCCGAGUUAUAACGAAGAAGUUAUGACCCGUCGAAGUUUCGUGACGAAACCGACACGACACCGGGAAGCAUAAAUAGUGAAUUUGCGAUAGAGCGAGAUUUAGCCUUAGUGAUCUAAACGAAAGUCAUAGAAUAUGUCAAACUAAGAACAUCGAUAAAAAGAUCACCCAAAUAUGACUUCGUAUGAAGAAGUUAUGAUUUUUCGAAGUUUCGAGCUAGCAGUGUACAGCCCGAAAUUCGAAUAUUAGAUCGAGCGGUUUUUAGCCGACACGACCUGAACGAGAAUUGAAGAUCUCGUUAAGAGUAGCGUAAUGAGAAAAAGAUGGGAGAAAACGGAUGUCGGAUGAAGAAGUUAUGAGGAUUUAACAGACCAAUCCUGUCCCGACCCGUUAAUAAUAUAAAAUUUAAAAUAGAGCCAAAAUUAGCCGACGGAGUCUAAACGAAAGUUGUAGAGUACGUUCCCGCCUUCACGUGGAUACAAAGAAAAUCGAAAACGGAGCUCGUAUGCGAAAGUUACGAAUUUUUAAAGNCGAUUCAGCAAAUACUUGUUGUAGAAGAAGUUGCACCUGAGCCAGUCACCAUGGCUGGAGUUCAAGCCAUGAUUCGAGCUAUGCUAGUUGAGAAAAGGGAAGAAAUGAGAAGGAUGUCAAAUAGGGACGAACCUACUAUGCCCACUGAGCAACCCGAGCUGAUUCCCGAGCAAUCGGAGGAAGGGAACUACAGCCACCAAGUGAGUCAAGNGUGGGGACUCAAGAUGGCCCUAAGAGGAGAAACUACAAGGACGGGCGAAUGUACAAGAAUUUCUUGGGUGCGAAACCAACAAUUCUUUCAGGAAGCCCAAAGCCUGUUGAGAUUAUGGAUUGGAUCUCCGAGAUGGAAAUGGUGUUUGAGAGCUGCGACUGUAGCGAGAAACAGAAGACCGUCUUCACCGUAAGACAACUUAAAACUGGAGUUUUGAACUGGUGGAAGCUAUUGGCAGAUACAAUGCCACGAGGAGAAGCCUUAAGGAUGUCAUGGGAAGAGUUCUUGGAACAGUUGAAAAUGCAGUACUGCUCGGAGAUAGAUCUGAUAGACCUAAACAACGAGUUUCAGAACCUGAAUAAAGGGAAGAUGAUUGUUGAUGAGUAUGCCACUGCAUUCACCGAGAGGAUGAAGCUAUUCCCCUACUUGGUGCCUACUGAAAUCUCCAAGAUUGAUAGGUUUGCUAACGGACUGCCCACUGACUUUGGCCCAAUGGUCAAAAUGGAAACUAACUUGAAAACAGCUGUUAGGGCAGCUAAGAAUGUAGAGGCCCAGAUAAGAGAAAAUGGUCUAGAAAAAGAUAAGGCAGGAGAGAAGCGGAAGUUUGAAGGAUCUUCGAGGUCCAUCAAGGAAAGCAAAUUCUCAAAGCUUGGAAGAGAAGAUGGAGGUGAACCGAGAUGGUGUGAUAAAUGCAAGAAGAAGCAUGGUGGGAAGUGCAACGAAGAAGUGACUUGUUACAAGUGUGGGAGGACUGGUCACUAUUCCAAAGACUACACACAUAAUGAUAAAGUAUGCUACGGAUGUGGAAGCAAGGGGCACAUGUCUAGAGACUGCCCAAGGAAAAAUAAAGCAGCAAGACCAGAAAUGCCACCAAGGCCAAGGGCAUUUCACAUAAUCCUCGACGAAGCAGAGAACCAUGCGAGGAAUCAAAGAUGAGGACUUUAUACCCGAAGAUCGAAUUAUGCAGUAGCCAUAGUUUCGUAUGAUGGAGCCCAUUAGUGACAUAGUCCAGGGUGAACUUGAACACCUAUGUAAUAGUUUCAAGAAAUAAUAAAAUCUUCGUUUUGUUAUCUGGUGUGUUAAAUUGUUAUGUGAUUUUCUUGUAUGGUGACAUGGAAAACUACGAGACUAUACUUGAGACGAGUAUGAGUAGGUGUGAAUGGUAGUAGAGGCCUAUACUACCGGAAGCACAGGACUCACACUUGAAUCAGGGAAAGUCACAAGGUUACCAAGAGACUAGUAAUUGAUUUCGUUUUAUUCAAGUGUGUUGUUACCAUCGUUUCGGUAAUGACUAAGAAGAUUGUUGAUAUUCCGACCCUAGUGGUCGUAUCACAUUGAGUCCAACUACGAUGAGUAGGUUACGUGGUUCAGAGAACCAAGUUUGAUGUAGCGUCCGACUUAAACCAAACAAUUGAAAUCAAAGCGAUCAAUAGAAGUAUCGCGCUCGUUUUUAUAGAAGUUGGUAGCUAGAAAUGCUACAUGUUAAAAUGUGAUUAUAUCACAUUAGACCAUGAAGGAAGGCAUAUUCCAUUCCGGAAUUUGACUCUAAAAGACCUGAGUCUAAGCGUUGCAACAUACGAUGAUAUGUCAUUAGAAUAUGACACAUCGAUCCAUAGUAGUAAUAAAAGAACUCAUCUCAAGUUCGUAUGUAGUAAGGAUCGAGAUUAUGACUUGAAGGUCAUAAUUGGGAGUCUAGCCUGAGGUAGAGAGCAGGUGCACGAUCGAGUACUCUUACAGUCAAUGAGUUUAAGAGAUAGGCUUGAAGGAAUGUAGAAGUUAUAAUUAUUACCUAGGAUUAAGAGAUGACGUAUGGAGUCAUUAUAUGACCCUAUUUCGUUGAUGAUCCCGGGACGUAAUCAUCCCAAGGGGGAGAUAAUUGUAACGCCCGCAAAUCCGGGCAAGUCAAAUUAGAGGCAAUAGGGGUCGAAAACGACUUUUCGACAAAAGAUUAUUUAGAGUAAAUAAUCUUAACCAUGUUGUAUAAUAUGUCACAAGGUUUCCGUACAUAUAAAGAACGCCGAAAUCCGAGUUAUAACGAAGAAAUUAUCACCCGUCGAAGUUUCGCAACGAAACCGACACGGCACCGGGAAGCGUAAAUAGUGAAUUUGCGAAAGAGCGAGAUUUAGCCUUAGUGAUCUAAACGAAAGUCGUAGAAUAUGUCAAACUAAGAACAUGGAUAAAAAGAACGCCCAAAUCUGACUUCGUAUGAAGAAGUUAUGAGAUUUUGAAGUUUCGAGCUAGCAGUGUACAGCCCGAAAUUCGAAUAUUAGAUCGAGCAGUUUUUAGCCAACACGACCUGAACGAGAAUCGAAGAUCUCGUUAAGAGUAGUGUAACGAGAAAAAGAUGGGCGAAAACGGAUGUCGGAUGAAGAAGUUAUAAGGAUUUAACGGACCAAUCCUGUCCCGACCCGUUAAUAAUAUAAAAUUUAAAAUAGAGCCAAAAUUAGCCAACGGAGUCUAAAUGAAAGUGGUAGAGUACGUUCCCGCCUUUGUUUGGAUAUAAAGAACGUCGAAAACGGAGCUCGUAUGCAAAAGUUACGANCCCAUAAAUUAAUUAGAAUUAAUUUUGAGGUUAAAAGAAUUGAUUAUAAGGUGCAGGGACUAGUUUGCAAUUAUCNCGAAGCCUGUUGCUCUAUUGAUGACGUGGCAAAACCAAGACCGUUGCUUGCUAAUCACGCCUCGCAUCCAAUGAUCGCCACGAAGUCUCGCUUACGCCCCACAUCCGAAGCUAGGUACGCCUAGCGUACUUGAUCUUGUCCGGGUCCGAGAAGGGGUGCGAGCCAGCUGGUGCGAAGCUGGCAUUCUUAUCCGAGGACUACGCCCCGCGUAGCCUCCCUACGCCCAGCGUAAUGACCGAAGCCUGGCACUAUAAAUAGAGGUGCGNCCCUCUACUUUCCUUCUUGCUAGUUUAAGUGUGAUUCCAUUAGAGGCAUUACACUUGUGGUGCUAAGCUUCCAAGAAGAUCAAGAUAAAGAUCAAGGGAAUUAUCAAUUGUUUACUAUAACAAUUGAAAGGUAUGUAAUUACUAAACCCUAGUUUGUNNNNNNNNNNNNNNNNNNNNNNNNNNNNNNNNNNNNNNNNNNNNNNNNNNNNNNNNNNNNNNNNNNNNNNNNNNNNNNNNNNNNNNNNNNNNNNNNNNNNNNNNNNNNNNNNNNNNNNNNNNNNNNNNNNNNNNNNNNNNNNNNNNNNNNNNNNNNNNNNNNNNNNNNNNNNNNNNNNNNNNNNNNNNNNNNNNNNNNNNNNNNNNNNNNNNNNNNNNNNNNNNNNNNNNNNNNNNNNNNNNNNNNNNNNNNNNNNNNNNNNNNNNNNNNNNNNNNNNNNNNNNNNNNNNNNNNNNNNNNNNNNNNNNNNNNNNNNNNNNNNNNNNNNNNNNNNNNNNNNNNNNNNNNNNNNNNNNNNNNNNNNNNNNNNNNNNNNNNNNNNNNNNNNNNNNNNNNNNNNNNNNNNNNNNNNNNNNNNNNNNNNNNNNNNNNNNNNNNNNNNNNNNNNNNNNNNNNNNNNNNNNNNNNNNNNNNNNNNNNNNNNNNNNNNNNNNNNNNNNNNNNNNNNNNNNNNNNNNNNNNNNNNNNNNNNNNNNNNNNNNNNNNNNNNNNNNNNNNNNNNNNNNNNNNNNNNNNNNNNNNNNNNNNNNNNNNNNNNNNNNNNNNNNNNNNNNNNNNNNNNNNNNNNNNNNNNNNNNNNNNNNNNNNNNNNNNNNNNNNNNNNNNNNNNNNNNNNNNNNNNNNNNNNNNNNNNNNNNNNNNNNNNNNNNNNNNNNNNNNNNNNNNNNNNNNNNNNNNNNNNNNNNNNNNNNNNNNNNNNNNNNNNNNNNNNNNNNNNNNNNNNNNNNNNNNNNNNNNNNNNNNNNNNNNNNNNNNNNNNNNNNNNNNNNNNNNNNNNNNNNNNNNNNNNNNNNNNNNNNNNNNNNNNNNNNNNNNNNNNNNNNNNNNNNNNNNNNNNNNNNNNNNNNNNNNNNNNNNNNNNNNNNNNNNNNNNNNNNNNNNNNNNNNNNNNNNNNNNNNNNNNNNNNNNNNNNNNNNNNNNNNNNNNNNNNNNNNNNNNNNNNNNNNNNNNNNNNNNNNNNNNNNNNNNNNNNNNNNNNNNNNNNNNNNNNNNNNNNNNNNNNNNNNNNNNNNNNNNNNNNNNNNNNNNNNNNNNNNNNNNNNNNNNNNNNNNNNNNNNNNNNNNNNNNNNNNNNNNNNNNNNNNNNNNNNNNNNNNNNNNNNNNNNNNNNNNNNNNNNNNNNNNNNNNNNNNNNNNNNNNNNNNNNNNNNNNNNNNNNNNNNNNNNNNNNNNNNNNNNNNNNNNNNNNNNNNNNNNNNNNNNNNNNNNNNNNNNNNNNNNNNNNNNNNNNNNNNNNNNNNNNNNNNNNNNNNNNNNNNNNNNNNNNNNNNNNNNNNNNNNNNNNNNNNNNNNNNNNNNNNNNNNNNNNNNNNNNNNNNNNNNNNNNNNNNNNNNNNNNNNNNNNNNNNNNNNNNNNNNNNNNNNNNNNNNNNNNNNNNNNNNNNNNNNNNNNNNNNNNNNNNNNNNNNNNNNNNNNNNNNNNNNNNNNNNNNNNNNNNNNNNNNNNNNNNNNNNNNNNNNNNNNNNNNNNNNNNNNNNNNNNNNNNNNNNNNNNNNNNNNNNNNNNNNNNNNNNNNNNNNNNNNNNNNNNNNNNNNNNNNNNNNNNNNNNNNNNNNNNNNNNNNNNNNNNNNNNNNNNNNNNNNNNNNNNNNNNNNNNNNNNNNNNNNNNNNNNNNNNNNNNNNNNNNNNNNNNNNNNNNNNNNNNNNNNNNNNNNNNNNNNNNNNNNNNNNNNNNNNNNNNNNNNNNNNNNNNNNNNNNNNNNNNNNNNNNNNNNNNNNNNNNNNNNNNNNNNNNNNNNNNNNNNNNNNNNNNNNNNNNNNNNNNNNNNNNNNNNNNNNNNNNNNNNNNNNNNNNNNNNNNNNNNNNNNNNNNNNNNNNNNNNNNNNNNNNNNNNNNNNNNNNNNNNNNNNNNNNNNNNNNNNNNNNNNNNNNNNNNNNNNNNNNNNNNNNNNNNNNNNNNNNNNNNNNNNNNNNNNNNNNNNNNNNNNNNNNNNNNNNNNNNNNNNNNNNNNNNNNNNNNNNNNNNNNNNNNNNNNNNNNNNNNNNNNNNNNNNNNNNNNNNNNNNNNNNNNNNNNNNNNNNNNNNNNNNNNNNNNNNNNNNNNNNNNNNNNNNNNNNNNNNNNNNNNNNNNNNNNNNNNNNNNNNNNNNNNNNNNNNNNNNNNNNNNNNNNNNNNNNNNNNNNNNNNNNNNNNNNNNNNNNNNNNNNNNNNNNNNNNNNNNNNNNNNNNNNNNNNNNNNNNNNNNNNNNNNNNNNNNNNNNNNNNNNNNNNNNNNNNNNNNNNNNNNNNNNNNNNNNNNNNNNNNNNNNNNNNNNNNNNNNNNNNNNNNNNNNNNNNNNNNNNNNNNNNNNNNNNNNNNNNNNNNNNNNNNNNNNNNNNNNNNNNNNNNNNNNNNNNNNNNNNNNNNNNNNNNNNNNNNNNNNNNNNNNNNNNNNNNNNNNNNNNNNNNNNNNNNNNNNNNNNNNNNNNNNNNNNNNNNNNNNNNNNNNNNNNNNNNNNNNNNNNNNNNNNNNNNNNNNNNNNNNNNNNNNNNNNNNNNNNNNNNNNNNNNNNNNNNNNNNNNNNNNNNNNNNNNNNNNNNNNNNNNNNNNNNNNNNNNNNNNNNNNNNNNNNNNNNNNNNNNNNNNNNNNNNNNNNNNNNNNNNNNNNNNNNNNNNNNNNNNNNNNNNNNNNNNNNNNNNNNNNNNNNNNNNNNNNNNNNNNNNNNNNNNNNNNNNNNNNNNNNNNNNNNNNNNNNNNNNNNNNNNNNNNNNNNNNNNNNNNNNNNNNNNNNNNNNNNNNNNNNNNNNNNNNNNNNNNNNNNNNNNNNNNNNNNNNNNNNNNNNNNNNNNNNNNNNNNNNNNNNNNNNNNNNNNNNNNNNNNNNNNNNNNNNNNNNNNNNNNNNNNNNNNNNNNNNNNNNNNNNNNNNNNNNNNNNNNNNNNNNNNNNNNNNNNNNNNNNNNNNNNNNNNNNNNNNNNNNNNNNNNNNNNNNNNNNNNNNNNNNNNNNNNNNNNNNNNNNNNNNGACGAGUAUGAGUAGGUGUGAAUGGUAGUAGAGGCCUAUACUACCGGAAGCACAGGACUCACACUUGGAUCAGGGAAAGUCACAAGGUUACCAAGAAGCUAGUAAUUGAUUUCGUUUUAUUCAAGUGUGUUGUUACCAUCGUUUCGGUAAUGACUAAGAAGAUUGUUGAUAUUCCGACCCUAGUGGUCGUAUCACAUUGAGUCCAACUACGAUGAGUAGGUUACGUGGUUCAGAGAACCAAGUUUGAUGUAGCGUCCGACUUAAACCAAACAAUUGAAAUCAAAGCGAUCAAUAGAAGUAUCGCGCUCGUUUUUAUAGAAGUUGGUAGCUAGAAAUGCUACAUGUUAAAAUGUGAUUAUAUCACAUUAGACCAUGAAGGAAGGCAUAUUCCAUUCCGGAAUUUGACUCUAAAAGACCUGAGUCUAAGCGUUGCAACAUACGAUGAUAUGUCAUUAGAAUAUGACACAUCGAUCCAUAGUAGUAAUAAAAGAACUCAUCUCAAGUUCGUAUGUAGUAAGGAUCGAGAUUAUGACUUGAAGGUCAUAAUUGGGAGUCUAGCCUGAGGUAGAGAGCAGGUGCACGAUCGAGUACUCUUACAGUCAAUGAGUUUAAGAGAUAGGCUUGAAGGAAUGUAGAAGUUAUAAUUAUUACCUAGGAUUAAGAGAUGACGUAUGGAGUCAUUAUAUGACCCUAUUUCGUUGAUGAUCCCGGGACGUAAUCAUCCCAAGGGGGAGAUAAUUGUAACGCCCGCAAAUCCGGGCAAGUCAAAUUAGAGGCAAUAGGGGUCGAAAACGACUUUUCGACAAAAGAUUAUUUAGAGUAAAUAAUCUUAACCAUGUUGUAUAAUAUGUCACAAGGUUUCCGUACAUAUAAAGAACGCCGAAAUCCGAGUUAUAACGAAGAAAUUAUCACCCGUCGAAGUUUCGCAACGAAACCGACACGGCACCGGGAAGCGUAAAUAGUGAAUUUGCGAAAGAGCGAGAUUUAGCCUUAGUGAUCUAAACGAAAGUCGUAGAAUAUGUCAAACUAAGAACAUGGAUAAAAAGAACGCCCAAAUCUGACUUCGUAUGAAGAAGUUAUGAUUUUUUGAAGUUUCGAGCUAGCAGUGUACAGCCCGAAAUUCGAAUAUUAGAUCGAGCAGUUUUUAGCCAACACGACCUGAACGAGAAUCGAAGAUCUCGUUAAGAGUAGUGUAACGAGAAAAAGAUGGGCGAAAACGGAUGUCGGAUGAAGAAGUUAUAAGGAUUUAACGGACCAAUCCUGUCCCGACCCGUUAAUAAUAUAAAAUUUAAAAUAGAGCCAAAAUUAGCCAACGGAGUCUAAAUGAAAGUGGUAGAGUACGUUCCCGCCUUUGUUUGGAUAUAAAGAACGUCGAAAACGGAGCUCGUAUGCAAAAGUUACGAAUUUUUAAAGUUUGUAGUCAAAUUUGCGAAGCCUGUUGCUCUAUUGAUGACGUGGCAAAACCAAGACCGUUGCUUGCUAAUCACGCCUCGCAUCCAAUGAUCGCCACGAAGUCUCGCUUACGCCCCACAUCCGAAGCUAGGUACGCCUAGCGUACUUGAUCUUGUCCGGGUCCGAGAAGGGGUGCGAGCCAGCUGGUGCGAAGCUGGCAUUCUUAUCCGAGGACUACGCCCCGCGUAGCCUCCCUACGCCCAGCGUAAUGACCGAAGCCUGGCACUAUAAAUAGAGGUGCGAAGUGCUCCGGAUUUCACACAAAUUUCUCAUAUCUUUCUCUCAUUAUUUUCUCUCUCUAGCUCAUCUAAACCCCCCUAAGCCCUAGUUAAACCCCUUAGCUCCCGAGGGAAGCCCCGAGGCCCCCGGAGUCCCGAGAAAAAGUGCCUUUCGGUUUCGAAACGCUGCUCCAAUUAAGUUCCGGUUUUUCGAUAAAAUUCGCUGUAAGUGUGCUACGCUUACGCAAAUUUUAAUAUAGCUUUCAAAUAAUUAUAGGAAUGUUAUUAGGUCCUUAAAAUAAUUAUUUGGGCUAUUAUUAUGAGUUAUAAUUAUUUCAGGUGAGUGCAUAGUCCCUUUCAUCUUACACAUAGAUAUGAAGUAUUUUAUAUAAACUACGUGCUAUGUGUGCAUAUUAUCUGAAUACUUGUUGUCUAUGCUGGAUGAACGUUUUAUACAUGUUUUAAAGGAUUUAAACUAUAUACGUAUUUUAUAUAUACGAAUAUGUUGGGUAUGAGAUGGGUAGAUGAAUGAUGAGAGAUAGAAGAUGAUGUGAGUAUACAUUGGCAGCUAUAGACUUAGUGCCUAUGGGACGAACACCGGUAGCUAUGGACUUAGUACCUGUUAGACGUUGGUAGCUAUGGAUUUAGUACCUGUUAGGAAUUGGUAGCUAUGGACUUAGUACCUAUUAAACACUGGAAGUUAUGGAUUUAGUACCCGAUGAGUAGAAUAUAGUAGCUAUGGAUUUAGUGCUUUACGAACGAACAUCGGCAGCUAUGGAUUUAGUGCCAUUCCUAUAACCCUGGAAGUAAGGGACUUCGAAAUAAACGAAUGCAGGAUAGAUGAAUCUUAGGUUAAAUCCUUAAGAGUGAAGGAGAUAAUGGGGAUGGGUAAUUGGGUUAAUUGUUUGAUGAUUAAACAUAAUAAUUAUAUUAUUGUGGGUUGAAAACCCUAUGUACUCACCAGAUUUCCCAACCUGACCCACUCCAGUUUAUAUCACAGGUGUUGAUAUGAAGUCACAUUACACUGAGAGAUUAAAGAGAUGUAGAUCACUAGUGUAAAUAAAUGUAAGUUUUGUUUAUGCUUAUGUUUUUGUAUUGACAAUGACAUCCCAAAUGUUUUAAAAUGAAUAAAAUACGUUUCUUCGAAAAUGUUUUAAUAACGUAUUUAUCAUGUUUUUCUGGGAACAAAUUCCGCAACAUUUUUAUGAAAAGAAGUACUUUGAUUUUUACAAAGCAUAAACAAAAUUGGUCUUUUUUGGCCGUGAAAAUGGGGAUGUCACAAAAUCUAUGUGGGCUACACAUAGAAUUUCGUCCAUCCCUUCCUAGGGAUCCUCAAGCCCAACUUGCAACUAUCAUAUAAAUUGAAUAUCAGUCCCCGUAAUUUAAUUGGUCUCUUUUGAUCACCAAAUUAAUUUCUUAUCAAUACUAAUUAAUUAAUACGAUUUCUUAAUUAACAUAUUAUUCUUAUAAUAUAUUGAUAAAUCAUAAUUAACCUUUUUUCCGUAAUUCAUCCUAUCAAAUUGCUAUGGUGAAGGCAAACCAAAAGGAACAUGCUACUAUCAGGUCAAGUACAUACCAAUUAUAGUUAUGGGAUUAGACACCAAGUCCAACAGUCUCCCACUUGGAUAAGUCUAAUAACUAUAACUGCAAGUAUGACUUCAAAAUCUGAUUAGCAAUCGUAGCUCUCAAAAACCGUUGUCGAACUCUGACCUAGUCAAUGAUGUGUCCUUUAGAUAAGGGAUCAUAUAAUCCUCCGUUCUGCAAGAUAUCGUGUGGACAGUGAAAUGGAACAUAAUCAUUCUCAAUGUCCAACAGUUUGUUUCCCGACUUCUGAUUCAUUUGACAUAGAACUUAAUUGAACACAUCAAUUCAGUCCUGACCGGGCCCGACACAUAAGUCAAAACAAAAUCAUCGAGGGUCCCAAGAUACCUCUUUUACCCUCCUAGGAUAAAAUGAAUAGAUAAGCUUUAGCUUAUAUGCUUGUACUAUUUACUCAUUAAAUCGUACACAAUAACACGUUCUAUAACAUCAAGUUACCGAUGCAUUUACGCAUUAUCAAUGCACACCCAACUUGUAAACAACAACUCAUAUAUCUCUUUUUAAAGACUAUACGAUAUUAUCGCCUCACAAUCACUCGUGAUGAAUUCCAUGAAGUGAUUUAAAUGAGCAUGCGUUUAAUCCAAUACUCAAAUCUUAUUUCAAGAGCACUCAUGAACGUUGCAGCAAACCUUUACUCUGUCUAAACACUUAGACAAUCCACAAACCAAUUCGUGACAUUCUGACCUUAUAACUUACUCCCAAAGUAUGAUUGACUGUGGGUAAUUUGAACAAUCUAAUUAUUCUGGAAGUAAAACAUGCAAAAUGAAACAAUAGUAAAUAGUUGACACAAGAUAGUAAACUUUACUCAUAAAUAAAACUCCUUUAUUUAAUCAUCAAAUGUCAAUUUCAUUUUAUCUAUUACAAGUUUCCGAUCAACUAUUUAAUCACUAUAACUAAUAUCGUCCUUCAAGCCAAUGCUCCUCGCAUGUUGUAAGUGCUUAACCCUGCACAGACCCUUUGUGAGGGGAUCUGUUGGGUUCUCCUCUGACGAUACCCUCUUUACUACGAGGAGUGCCUCUUCUACCUGAUGUCUGAUGAAGUGGUAUUUUCUGUCGAUGUGUCUGGAUCUUCCAUGAUCCCUUGGUUCCUUAGCUAAGGCAACCACUCCUUCGUUAUCACAGAAAAUCUCAAUAGGCUCCUUUAUGGCUGGUACAACUCCGAGGCCUCCAAUGAAGUUCUUCAACCAUAUUGCCUCCUUAGACGCUUCGCUCGCUGCUAUAUACUCUGAUCCGUACGUUGAAUCAGCCACCGUAUCCUGCUUGCAACUUUUCCAAGCGAUUUCCCCUUCAUUCAGGGUAAAUACCCAGCUUGUGAGCUUGACUGAGAGCAGAAGUUAUCUCUGUCGGUUUGGAAACUGGCAUCACUAUACCCUAUCACUCUCAAUUCAUCACUCCCACCAAGUGUAAGGACCCAGUCCUUAGUCCUUUGCAGAUAAUUAAGAAUGUUCUUCACUGCAGUCCAAUGAGCUCUACCCGGGUUCCCUUGAUAUCGGCUAACCAUGCUCAGCGCAAAAGGCACAUUAUGGCGAGUACAUGUCAUAUCGUACAUGAUCGAGCCAACGGCAGAAGCAUAUGGUACUCGACCCAUUUCCACUAUCUCGACAUCGGUACUCGGAAUCUGAGUCUUACUCCGCUUCGUAUUGAUUUGGAUUGGUAGUUCCCUUUUCUUGGAAUUCUCCAUGCUAAAACGUUUUAGCAGCUUGUCCAAGUAAGUACUUUGACUAAGUCCUAUUAGUCUUAUGCUUCUGUUUCUCAAUGUCCUUAUCCCUAGAAUAUAAGCAUCUUUCUCCUAGAUCCUUCAUAGCGAAAUACUUCCUAAGCCAGGUCUUUACCUCCUACAAAGUUGGGAUGUCGUUUCCUAUGAGCAGUAUGCCAUCCACAUACAAAACUAGAAACCUAACUAUACUCCCACUAGCCUUAACAUACACACAUGACUCAUCCUCGCUUCUUGAAAAACCAAACUCUUUUACUUUCUCAUCGAAACAAAGAUUCCAUUUACGAGACGCUUGUUUCAAUCCAUAAAUGGAUAUCUCAAGAUUGCACACUCUAUUGGGGUAUUUGGCAUCCACAAAACCUUCUGACUGACACAUGUAAACAUCUUCAGCCAGCUUCCCAUUAAGGAAAGCGAUUUUGACAUCCAUCUGCCAAAUUCAUAAUCAUGAAAUGCAGCAAUGGUCAACAUAACCCUAAUAGACUUGAUCUUGGCCACUGGUGAGAAGGUCUCAUCAUAGUCAACCCUAGGGGAUUAGCUAAAGCCCUUCGCAACCAAUCGUGCCUUGAACGUAUGCACUAUCCCAUCCAUGUCGGUCUUUUUCUUGAAGAUCCACUAACAACUGACUGUCUUGUGACCAGGUACAUUGUCAACCAAGUUCCACACUUGAUUUUCAUACACGGAUUGAAUCUCGAUGUCCAUAGCCUCUUUCCAUUUUGCAGACUCGGGGCCCACCAUGGCUUCCUUGUAGUUAUUAGGUUCAUCCAUAUUUAUCAGUGUACUAUUGCUAAUAAACGUAUCACCUUCAGCUGUUAUCUGGAAACCAUACAACAUAGGUGGAACACUAACUCUACUGGAAACGAAGACAACUUUGUCACUCGGUCUGUAGAAGAGAUAUCCAAAGGAUCUUUGUGGAUAGCCGAUGAAAAUACACAAAUGACUACUAGGUUCAAGCUUGUUGUGAGUCUUUCUUCUUACGAAAACCUCGCAACCCCAAACCUUGAUAUGUGACAACGAGGGAACCUUCCAUGUCCACAUCUCGUGAGGUGUUUUGGUAACCUUCUUAGUUGGGACUAGAUUAAGGAUAUGGGUAGCAAUCUCUAAGGCAUACCCCCAAAAUGAGAUAGGUAAUAAAGCUCGACUCAUCAUGGAACGAACCAUGUCCAACAAGGUUCGAUUGCGCCUCUCAGCCACACCAUUGAGCUGCGUUGUCCUAGGCGACAUCAAUUGUGAAACAAUUCCACAUUCCUUAAGAUAGUCGUGGAACUCGAUACUAAGAUACUCACCACCCCUAUCAGAUCUGAGCAUCUUUAUCUUCCUGCCCAAUUGAUUCUCCACUUCUUGUUUAAACUCUUUGAACUUUUCAAAGGUUUCUGACUUGUGCUUGAGUAAGUAGAUAUACCCACAUCUGAUAUAAUCGUCAGUGAACGUAACAUAGAAUCGGUUUGCAUCCCUUGUGGUGGAUCUAAAGGGCCCACACACAUCGAUCUAUAUGAGAUCCAACAAUCCCUCACCUCCCUCACAAGUGCCAUUGAAAGGUGAUUUAGUUAUCUUUCCAAGCAGAUAAGAUUCGCACGUGUCAUCCGACUUUAUGUUAAACGAUUCCAGCACUUCAUCCUUUUGGAGUUGGGCUAUGCGCUUCUUGUUGACAUGGCCAAGACGACAAUGCCACAAGCAUGCCUUGUGCAAACCAUUGGACGAAUCAAUGUGCAACACAUUAUUUCCUAAGUUGUCUACAACCAUCACAGUUUCAUAUAUACCAUUACAAGGAAAUUCUUCAAAAUAAAAAGUACCAUUAUAGAAAGCAUUAAUAGAACCAAUUUCAUUAUUGAAUGAAAAUCUAAAACCUUGUCUAUACAAACCAUGAAACAAAAUAAUAAUCCUCGUCAUUUCUGAAGAGUAGCAACAAUCGUUCAAAUCUAAUCCUAACCCACUACUAAGCCCUAAAGAAUAAACUCCAAUCUUGGUGAUAGGCGAAGCUCUCUUAUUCCCCAUGAUUAAGUUCAUCUUCCCAUGCUCCAUAUCCCUACUUCUUCUUAUCCCCUGCAAAUCAGAACAAAUGUAAUGAGUGAUUAGAUUAAACAGUAUAAAUACCUAUGAAGGAUGGCCUUAUCUUCCUUCCUUGAUGUCUUGCAAGUACUUCGGGCAGCUUUGUUUCCAAUGCCCUUUGUCGUGACAGUGGAAGCACUCUGCUUCCUUUGGAACAGGUGAGGGAGUAGCAGAACCACCUUUUCCUUUGGACCCAUUUGAAGAAGAUCCAUAUGAGACUUUCCCUUGUGAUUCUUAGAGGUAUACUUCCUCUUCUUCCCCUUCCCCUGUCCAAUAGCUAAGACAGGGGCAACAACAAUAGGAGUGGUUGUGACAACUUUGCCUUUCAACCCGCUUUCAACAGUUCUUCAUAACCCUUGAAGCUUGCUCAAGGUGACUUCCUCCUUGUUCAUAUGAGAAGUCAUCUUAAACGGAUCAUAACAAGGAGGUAAAUAGUAGAGAAUGAUAUCAAUCUCCAACUCUUCGUCAAAGUUGACAUUCAAUUUGAGCAAACGAUCCACAUACCUUUGCAUUCUUUGCAAGUGGCUCAUGAUGUGUAACGACCCAAAUUUCAAGCGUGAAAAUUUCAUUUUUGAACUACUAAAUUUAAUAAACAUUUUACCAAAAACAUUGUCAAUAAAACAUCUCAUUAAAAAAUCAUCAUGUUGUGUCCCAAACCAUAACAUCAAAAGUAAUGAAAAUCAGAGUACGGUCCCAUAGACUCAAUGCGGAAACCAUGUGUGUGUGUGAUGCGCUGCUACCACACCGGCUCUUUCCCCUUCAAUGAAGAGGUACCUGAAACCAAAACUUAAACUGUAAGCACAAAGCUUAGUGAGUUCCCCCAUCAUACCACAUACCAUACAAUAUCAUCGGUAUCUUUCAACCAGUAACCUUCAUCGGUAUCUAUCAACUGGUAACCAUCAUCGGUAUCUUUCAACCGGUAAUCAUCAUCGGUAUCUUUCAAACGGUAACGGUCAUCGGUAUCUUUCAAUCGGUAACUGGGGACUAUUUCACCCCUUAUCACUAGCAUGCAACAACAGAUGUAAGUACACAGUCAGGAAUAUCCGGGUACUGACCUACCCCUAGGUCCUAAGGACCACCAUCAAGGAAACUAAUCCCUACUACACACAUAACAUAUCAUACAGUUAAAUCUCAUAACCAACACAUAACCAGACCAAGAUAAUUAUCACAAAGACCAUUAUCUUCUAAAUACCCCUUUUUGGUGGGCCGACAUUGUGGCCUUAGACCCACCCUUACUGGAAGGUAACUCACAUCAAUGUCGUGUAGUGUCCAAACUAGCAUCGGCGCACAAGUCGACUCCCUAUGACUCCUCGAUCCCUACCCGACAACCUUCAAGUCANAAUCACAUACACCCUAGACAGGGUCAGUCCAAGUUCAAUCAAAGUCAACAUUGGUCAAAGUCAACAUUCAGUUGACCUGACUCGCCGAGUUGGCCUACCAACUCGUCGAGUCCAUGCUUCUCUACUCCCACACAAAACCCCAGCUCCACUCGUCGAAUCUAGCAAAACUCGACAGCUUCUCCUUCAAUCAUAACAUCGGGACCAUCUUCAUCCGACUCGCCGAGUUCCUCUUGAACUCGCCGAGUUCAUCUCCAACUUAAGAACUUGUCCGGUCUAAGACUCGCCGAGUUGUAUAAACAACUCGUCGAGUCCAUCCUCAAGGAUUUGGAGAUUUCUAUGGACUCGUUGAGUCUGCUCGUACCACUCGCCGAGUCCCAUGGCUUCCAGGUCCCUUUUCGCAUCUACACCCACAAGGGACUUCCUUCCUAACACUUACCCAUUCACAGAAAGGAUUUGGUGCAUAAUGGUCACCGACUCGUCGAGUGCUAAGAACAACUCGCCGAGUCCAACCUUGACCAAUUCCAUACAGUCGAUUUAAAUGAGGCCCAGCACACCGUAAUCAUAGAUCUGGCCUCCUAAUGUCCAUUUUAUACGUAAACUUCCAAACUUGAUGCACAUGAAUGGGGUUUUUAGCUCAAAAAUCCAUAUAAAGUGUCCUACAAUGUGCAUGGGGCUCUCAUGUCCCUAAAUUUGGCACCUUUAUGCCAUGAGACCCCUCUUAAGGCCCAGAUCUUAAGUCAAAACUCACCCAACACUUCCAAAUCCGAAAAAUGACUUAGAAAUCCAAAGAGAUCCCAAGUUAAAGAUAAAUAACCACAUAGAUGAGUCAAGACAGGGGAAUUGUACCUUGAAGCUGCUGGAAAUGAAGUAGGAUCUCCGGAUCUACAAGCCCCAACUCGAUUUCCAAGCUUCUUUCUUCCUUCUAAGCUUUACAAUCCACCCAAGAACACCAAAAAUGGCCUUAACUCACACACAAACGGCUAGGGUUCGAUAUGAAGCUUUCCAGAGAGUGUUAGGGACAAAGGAGGCUGAGUUAAGUUGUUUAUAUAGGGUGCAAACCCUCAGAUUUAGGGUUUCNCAACCCCUCAAUUUAGGGUUUCACUUAUCCAGCACCUACUCGUCGAGUCAGUCUCCCAACUCGUCGAGUGGGUCACUUAAAAUGUCCGCAGCCACGUCCCUACUCAACGAGUUGAUCCUCCAACUCGUCGAGUCCCAGAGAAAAAUACAUAUAUUGAAGAAAACAUACCAGAUGUUACAAAUCUCCCCCACUUAUUUUAGACUUCGUCCUCAAAGUUUGUCGCUCGAUCCUGAAAAAGCUCUGGGUAAUGCUCCCCCAUCUCAUCCUUCGACUCCCAGGUCCAUUCCGAGCCCUUUCGAUACUGCCACUGAACCUUUACCAGAUCCACCCUCUUGUUCCGCAGAUCCUUUGACUUCCUGUCAAGAAUCGCCACUGGUCUCUCAAUGUAGUUCAGGCUGUCGUCAACAUUAAUAUCCUCCAAGGGUACCACCUCUGAUUCGUCCACCAAACAUUUCCGUAACUGGGAGACGUGGAAAGUGCUAUGAAUCUGACUGAGUUCGGCUGGCAGAUCCAGCCUAUACGUAACCUUGCCCACCCAGGCUAUAACNCUGAAAGGUCCGAUAUACCUGGGCCCCAGCUUGCCCCGCCUCCUGAAUCGGAUGACACCCUUCCAAGGUGACACCUUCAGGAGAACCAUAUCCCCAACCUAGAAUUCCAGGUCUGAUCGGUGCUUGUCGGUAUAACUUUUCUGCCGACUCUGAGCAAUCUGAAGCCUGCUCCGGACCUGCCGGAUCCUCUCUGUAGUUUUGAGUACCACUUUGGUACUCCCCAUAACCCUCUAACCAACCUCACCCCAACGUAUCGGGGUCCUGCACUUCCUCCCGUACAACAUCUCGAAGGGAGGAUGGUCAAUACUCGCAUGAUAGCUAUUGUUGUACGAGAACUCGACCAAAGGAAGGUAAGUAUCCCAACUACCUCUGAAGUCUAAGACACACGCCCACAACAUAUCCUCCAAAUUCCGGAUGGUCCACUCACUUUUUCCAUCUGUUUGCGGGUGAAAAGCGGUGCUAAAAUGCAGACGAGUUCCCAGCUCGUCAUGGAACUUCUUCCAGAACCUGGAAGUAAACCGAACGUCUCUGUCUGAAAUCACCGAUAUUGGCACCCCGUGCCGCGCCACCACCUCCCUGAUAUAAAUGUCGGCCAACUUUACGGCCGAAAUACUCUCCUGAAUCGGGAUAAAAUGGGCGCUCUUGGUCAAUCGAUCUACGAUGACCCAGAUCGAAUCCAUUUCCCGUGCGGUCCUAGGAAGCUUUGUGAUAAAAUCCAUCGUGAUGUCUUCCCAUUUCCACAGCGGAAUAUCCAACGGCUGCAUCUUGUCGUGAGGUCUCUGAUGCUCAGUCUUGACCUUCCUGCAGGUCAAGCACCUCUCCACGUANAGCACCGCUCCACGUACCACGCCACAUCCCGCUUCAUGCAGGGCCAUUAGUAGUCCAAACGAAGAUCCCUAUACAUCUUCGUCGCCUGGGGAUGAAUGGAGAACCAAGAUUUGUUCGCCUCCUCCAUCAGAACCUGGCGCACACCCCCCGUGGUAUGGCACCCACACCCUACGGUGUAGUGUCAGUAAUCCUCGGUUGUCAUACUCGAAGGAGGAAACCUGCCCCACGAUCCGCUCGCUCUUCCGAUGUUCCUUCUUCAUGGCCUCUAGCUGGGCCUCCCGAAUCCACUCCAACAGCGGAGNUCCUCAGGCAGAUAUCCCUGAUCGGCGCUGCCUUGCGGCUAAGCGCGUCGGCCACCAGAUUGGCCUUCCCUGGGUGAUAAAGGAUCUUGCAAUCGUAAUCCUUUACCACGUCUAUCCACCGACGCUGCCUCAUGUUUAGAUUCGGCUGACCCAUGAGGUACCUCAAACUCUUAUGGUCCGUGUAGAUGGUACAGCGAACCCCAUAAAGGUAAUGAUGCCAAAUCUUGAGGGCGAGUACAACAGCCCCCAACUCCAAAUCAUGUGUUGGGUAGUUCGCCUCGUGAGGCUUCAGCUGCCUCGACGCGUAGGCGAUGACAUGCCUUCUCUGCAUCAGAAUUGUGCCCAAACCUGAGAUGGAUGCAUCACAAUAUACAAAAAAAUCCUCCGUGCCCUCUGGCAAGGCUAAGAUUGGUGCCUCGCACAAUCUCUGUCUCAGAGUCUCAAAUGCGGCCUGCUGCUCAAGCCCCCAACGAAAGACCACGACUUUCCUUGUUAGCUUGGUCAGGGGUACGGUUAUCUUGGAGAAAUCCUGGAUGAAUCUCCGAUAGUAGCCGGCCAAUCCUAGGAAACUCUGAAUCUCAGAUGGAGACUUCGGAACUUCCCAUCUCAUCACGGCCUCCACUUUGGCCGGUUCCACUGAAAUCCCGUCCUGGUUGAUGAGGUGCCCAAGGAACUGCACCUCGCGCAACCAGAACUCACACUUAGAGAACUUCGCAUACAAGUUCUCCCUCCUCAAGGUCUCCAGAACCUCUCGCAGAUGCUCCUCGUGCUCCCUCUGCGUCUUGAAAUAAACCAAGAUAUCAUCGAUAAAUACUAUCACCAACCGGUCUAACAUCGGUCUACACACGCGGUUCAUGAGGUCCAUGAACGCGGCAGGAGCAUUGGUGAUCCUGAAGGGCAUCACCACAAACUCGUAGUGGCCAUAGCGCGUCCGGAACGCAGUCUUCUGUACAUCCUCCUCCCUGACCCUCAUCUGAUGAUAUCCUGAACUCAGAUCAAUCUUGGAGAACCAAGAUGCUCCCUGAAGCUGGUCAAAGAGGUCAUCAAUCCUCGUGAGUGGGUAACAGUUCUUCACCGUCACCUUAUUCAGCUCCCGAUAAUCUAUGCACAUCCGAUGCGACCCGUCCUUCUUCUUCACAAACUGAAUCGGGGCUCCCCAGGGUGAACUGCUCGGUCUAAUGAACCCCUAGUCUAACAGCCCAUGCACCUGUGUAGACAGCUUUUGCAUCUCAGGAGGAGCCAGCCGAUACGGUGCCUUGGCUAUCGGAGCCACACCAGGGACUAGGUCGAAACGGAAUUCCACCUGUCUCUCCGGAGGUAUCCCAGGCAACUCUUCGGGGAAUACGUUCAUAAACUCUCGCACCACGGGCACAUCGCCCACCGUCUCCCUUCCCGUUUCCCGGGCAUCCAUAACAUAGGCGCAUAACCUGUGCAACCUUGCUGGAGGUAGCGCCUAGCCCUCGCUGCUGAGCAUAAGGUUGGUCCUUGCUGUGGCCUUUCGCCCCGAACCACCAACUCUCCCCCACUAGGGGUCCUGACCCACACUGACUGCUGCGCGCAGUCGAUCACUUCCCCAUUGGGGCUCAGCCAAUCAAUACCAAUAAUAACUUUGUUCCCCCGCAACGGUAUGGAAACCAAGUCCACCAGGUAACGCUCCUUGAACAGCCGCAAAACACAAUCCCGGUAGACCUCUGAUGCUCGCACAGACCGGUCGUCCGCAAUCUCGACAUCUAGAGGGAAAUCCAACAUGCCCGAAGACUUAGGAAACUUCUUGCUAAGCGCAAGAGAGACAAAUGAUCAGGUGGCACCCGAAUCAAACAACACCUGAACUGGGAUUUCGUUCACAUGGAACGAUCCUAAACAAGGCACAUGAUAUAUCAAAAUCACAACGACAUAAUAUAAGAGCAUAAGGAUAAGAAAUUAUACCCGUCACCACAUCGGGUGCAGUGCGUGCCUCCUCAACUGUCAGCUGAAAUGCUCGGCUCCGAACCACUGGAGCCUCCUACUUGACCUUUUGGCCAUUCACAACUCGUGUUGUCACUGGAGUCGGCGUCGCUACCGGCACCGCUGCUGCUGUCAAUCUAGGGCAAUUGGCCUUUUUAUGGCCCCUCUGAUUGCAAUGAAAUCAAAUCAGGUCUGAUGUCUGAAUCACAGGAGUAGGGGCUGUACAAUCUCUACCAAAAUGCCCAACCUUGCCGCACUUAUAGCAGCCGGAUCCCAGUCCAGUGCGACAAGCCCCCUCAUGUGACUGACUGCAUUUCCCACAGCGGUCCCGUCCUGACUGGCCCUUCGGCCUACCAUCGGAUCCCUUGGGCUUCUUCCCCGAAGCCCCCGCCGUCUGCCCCUCCUCUGCCUUCCUCUUCCGGAUAUGCUCCAGAUCAAUCUCCCUCUCCCUAGCCCUAGCAAUCAUGGAAUCCAGGGUAGGGCAAGCUGAAAAACUGACAUGCUCCCGGAUGUUAGCCCGUAGCAUGUCAUGGUAGUGGGUCCUCCUCAUGUCCUCAUCACCCGCAUACUGGGGCACCAAUAAAGCCCUCUCCCGGAACUUGGUAGUGAUCUCCGCCACAGUCUCCAUAGUCUUUCUCAUAUCUAAGAACUCCCUAGCCAGCUACUGAAGCUCCACAACUGGUGCGAACUCGGCCCUAAAUCGGGCGACAAAAUCUGUCCACGUCAUAGCCUCAAUGGCUGGGGCUCCCAACGUGUCACCAAUCAGCUCCCACCAAUCUAUGGCUCGGUCCCUCAAACAUCCUACAGCAAAACAGACCUUUGACCCUUCCGGGCAAAAGCUAGUCAGCUGCGCAGACUCAAUGUCCGCAAUCCAUCUCCUAGCAGCAAUGGGGUCCUUCACCCCAUAGAAAUCUGGCACACCACUCCCUCUGAAGUCCUUAAAGGACAGUGUGCGCGUGCUCGUCUGGCCAGACGCCAGAUCACUCCUGAACGAUCGGAGGCAAUCCUCUAUCAGCUCAAUGAUCCCCUCCUUGAUCGACCCGAAGAUAACCGGUGUCGCAUCAAGGAUACCUCGCGUGAUCUCGGACGCGAUGAACUCGCGUAGUCCAUCAUCCACUUGCUUGGACCCUGCACCCGAGCCCAAUCCUGACCCGGAUUUUGAACCUCCCAUACUAUGCCGCGUGACCACCAUUCUGAAAAUAAACAUACUUUUGUUAGGGUCACACACUUUACAAGUUUCCUGGUUCCAUCUAGGCCCUCCUUGACUCGAGUACGGAUUCUCUGUUUUCAGUAGUACGAGCCCAUACUACCUUCCACAUCUAUCCGUACUUUCCUCAAGGGUUGCUUCGACUUCGCCAAGUCCCUUUUCACUUAUCUUAUCCUAUGCUUCCCUAGGGCACUCUCCGACCUACUCCCCGCCAUCAGCUGCACUAGGAGUCCCCACCACCUCCCCCCUAACUAGCUUGCGGAUACUGUUACAUAUCCAUUCCUUAGUUAGUUGAAGUUGACCAGAACCCCCAUAGCACAAAGCAAGCAACAUUCGUGCAUUGAGUAACCAAACCAGGCAUAACCUAUACAGGCCAUCCUACUGCUGACAAAUCAUUCCUAGCAUACGGCUCAUAUAACAGGCACAUAAGGCGUCCUUCCUAGAUCCUUAGCCCUAACUAGCAUGCGAUUCUCAGAAUCAUAUAUCAGGCACAGAAGGCAUCUUCCUAGACCCUUAGUCCUAUUCUAGCAUGCAGUUCUAUGAAUCAAACCAUGUAGCAUAACACAAUAACUAUGGGUAUCUUGGGGAAAACUUACUUGAGCCCGACCGGUCGCACGCAUCACACACUUCGUUUAUAAAAUUUCUCAAUUUCGAUUUUAGAAAACCAUUUUCCUUAUAAAAUCUUUUAGUCCCUCGGUUUGAGUCCAGACACCCCCAAGGGUGUGUCCGAAUCCCUCAAACCAGGGCUCUGAUACCAACUUGUAACGACCCAAAUUUCAAGCCUAAAAAUUUCAUUUUUGAACUACUAAAUUUAAUAAAAAUCUUACCCAAAAACAUUGUCGAUAAAACAUCUCAUUACAAAAUCAUCAUGUUGUGCCCCAAACCAUAACAUCAAAAGUAAUGAAAAUCAGAGUACGGUCCCAUGGACUCAAUGCGGAAACCAUGUGUGUGUGUGAUGCGCUGCUAACCCACCGACUCUUUCCCCUUCGACGAAGAGGUACCAAAAACCAAAACCGAAAUUGUAAGCACAAAGCUUAGUGAGUUCCCCCAUCAUACCACAUACCAUACAAUAUCAUCGGUAUCUUUCAACCGGUAACCUUCAUCAGUAUCUUUCAACCGGUAACCAUCAUCAGUAUCUUUCAGCCGGUAAUCAUCAUCGGUAUCUUUCAACCGGUAACAGUCAUCGAUAUCUUUCAACCGGUAACUGGGGACUAUUUCACCCCUAUCACUAGCAUGCAACAACAGAUGUAAGUACACAGUCAGGCAUACCCGGGUACUGACCUACCCCUAGGUCCUAAGGACCACCGUCAGGGAAACUAAUCCCUACUACACACAUAACAUAUCAUACAGUUAAAUCUUAUAACUAACACAUAACCAGACCAAGAUAAUUAUCACAAAGACCAUUAUCUUCUAAAUACCCCUUUUUGGUGGGCUGGCAUUGUGGCCUUAGACCCACCCCUACUGGAAGGUAACUCACCUCAAUGUCGUGCAGUGUCUGAACUAGCCUCGACGCACAAUUCGACUCCCUACGACUCCUCGAUCCCUACACGACAACCUUCAAGUCAACACACAUCACAUACAACCCUAGACAGGGUCAGUCCAAGUUUAGUUAAAGUCAACAUUGGUCAAAGUCAACAUUCAGUUGACCUGACUCGCCGAGUCCAUGAUUCUCUACUCCCACACAAAACCCCGGCUCCACUCGUCGAGUCUAGCAAAACUCGACGGGUUCUCCUUCAAUCAUAACAUCGGGACCAUCUUCAUCCGACUCGCCGAGUUCCUCUUGAACUCGUCGAGUUCAUCUCCAACUUAAGAACUUGUCCGGUCUAUGACUCGCCGAGUUGUAUGAACAACUCGUCGAGUCCAUCUUCAAGGAUUUGGAGAUUGCUAUGGACUCGUCGAGUCUGCUCGUACCACUCGCCGAGUCCCAUGGCUUCCAGGUCCCUUUUCGCAUCUAAACCCACAAGGGACUUCCUUCCUAACACUUACCCAUUCACUGAAAGGGUUUGGUGCAUAAUGGUCACCAACUCGUCGAGUGCUAAGAGCAACUCGCCGAGUCCAACCUUGACCAAUUCCAUACAGCCGAUUUAAAUGAGGUCUAGCACACCAUAACCAUAGAUCUGGCCUCCUAAUGUCCAUUUUAUACGUAAAGUUCCAAACUUGAUGCACAUGCAUAGGGAUUUUAGCUCAAAAAUCCAUAUAAAGUGUCCUACAAUGUGCAUGGGGCUAUCAUGGCCCUAAAAUUGGCACCUUUAUGCCAUGAGACCCCUCUUAAGGCCCAGAUCUUAAGUCAAAACUCACCCAACACUUCCAAAUCCGAAAAAUGACUUAGAAAUCCAAAGAGAUCCCAAGUUAAAGAUGAAUAACCACGUAGAUGAGUCAAGACAGGGGAAUUGUACCUUGAAGCUACUAGAAAUGAAGUAGGAUCUCCGGAUCUACAAGCCCAAACUCGAUUUCCAAGCUUCUUUCUUCCUUCCGAGCUUUACAAUCCACCCAAGAACACCAAAAAUGGCCUUAACUCACACACAAACGGCUAGGGUUCGAUAUGAAGCUUUCCAGAGAGUGUUAGGGACAAAGGAGGUUGAGUUAAGUUGUUUAUAUAGGGUGCAAACCCUCAGAUUUAGGGUUUCACUUAUCCAACACCUACUCGUCGAGUCGGUCACUUAAAAUGUACGCAGCCACGUCCCUACUCGACGAGUUGAUCCUCCAACUCGUCGAGUCCCAAAUAAAAAUACAUAUAUUGAAGAAAACAUACCAGGUGUUACAUGAUGGAUUCUUCAUCCUUCAUUUUGGUUGUUAUCAAUGAGGCGACGAUCUUGUACCUUUCUUGACGCACACUUUGAUGGUACUUUUCCAUCAAGUCUUGGCACAUCUCGUAAGGCUAAUAGUCCUCAUAGAACCAUUACAACUCAAGAGUCAUAGUGGCUACCAUUAUACACGACACCUUUGUCGCGUCCUUUUCAUGAGCCUUAUACUCCAAAAUAUCUUUAGUGGAAGCAUUAGUUUCGUCUAUCUCUUUAAGCUUUUCAUCGAGUACAUACUCUUUUUCCUCGUAUCGUAGGUCCAUGCAGAUGCUGCGGAUCCAAUCUUUGAAGUUGGACCCAUCCAAAGUGACCCUGUCACAAAUGUUCAAAAGAGAAAAGGAGCUUGAGGGGUUCGAGCUUGAAGUGUUGUUUGAGCCAGACAUCUGAAAAAGAAAAGGAACAAAGUUUAGAUUAGAUAAGCAAUCCUUAAUAUAACACCCAAAUGAAAUAUUAAGGCUAGGACCCAACACUAUAAUUCACAAUUCGAAAGAGGGAUGCCGUAAUCCAACUGCAAAUUAUAUGAAGGUAGGUAAAUGACAAUUUACCAAUUUCCACCAUGAAAAAUGAAAUGAAGAUUUAGGUUUUAAAUGGAAUAAAAUUCCUAGAUUCUUUUGAGAUUCAUUGAACUUUUCAAUGACAUGUUUAAUCUCGAUUAUGCCCUUCAAGUUUGUGACUGGAAUACCGAGGAUCACAAACAAGGUGUGAAUAACCAUGCAAAUUAGCUUAGUACUCUCGAGUCAUUUACCACCUAAUCAGUGUGCCGGUUAACCACACACGCUCCAUUGAUCUAUGAUAAUUCUUGAGCUACCCUUCGCCACCCUUGUUAGUCCAAGUUAGUGUGCCGGUUAACCACACACGAUCCACUAACGACUUUUGACAAGGUGCAAAGUGCAAUUUCAUGGAAUAGCAUCAUUUUCACAUUUUCCCCAAAGUAACUAAGAUUGGGAAUUUAUAAAAACAUUUAGUUACUUUAUAAUAAUUAUUAUACUUAUUAAUGAGGAAUUAAUAUCCUAUCCUACCCAUUCGGCUAACGACCCUCCACUAGUCAAGAGUGCGGUGGGUAAAAGUGGAUACCCAAUGGUGGUCAUUUUAUAGUCCGCUUACUUAAACACCCCUUAUAGACCAGUUUCAUGAAUGAGGCCUACUAAUGGUAAAAUUGACUUUUCUNNNNNNNNNNNNNNNNNNNNNNNNNNNNNNNNNNNNNNNNNNNNNNNNNNNNNNNNNNNNNNNNNNNNNNNNNNNNNNNNNAUAUAUAUAUAUAUAUAUAAGUAUUAAGUUUUUAAUAUUAUAAUAGUAUAAAGGUUGUAUUUUAAACUUUUUCAAAAUACUAGGGUUUUAGAAUUUAAUAUUUCAAAAUUAAAAACUUUUUUAAUCAAAUUUAAAAUUCCAAAACUUGAGGGCAAGUUUUGAAACUUUUCAAAACUUCUAGAUCAAAUUUAAAAUUCAUUAAAAUAAUUAUAAAAUUUUAUCAUUAUCUAAAUUUGACCUAAUCCAAUUUUAUUUGGUAAGAUAAAUGCAACUCAAGUUUUAUAAAUAAUUAGUUUAUCACAUAAUCUAGUAAUUAUCUUAAAAUUUGACCAUUAUCUUUUAAAUAGAUGAGGAUAUCCAUUACCAUAUCCGAAAAAAUAGAUUUUAAUCAGUUAAAAUAGCUUAUGGUAAUUAACCUUAUCUAAUUUAGGCUUAAAAUCCGAAAAUUGUGCAGUCAGACGAGUUAAAGCUAGAUUUUAAUAAGUUUAAACAACUUAUGGUAAUUAUCCUUAUCUAAUUUAGGCCUAAAAUUCGAAAAUUGUGCAGGUGCUAAGAAGAAGCUCCUUUUCUUAAAAUUUGACCAUUAUCUUUUAAUUAGAUGAGGAUAUCUAUUACCAUAUCCGAAAAAUAGAUUUAAUCAGUUAAAACAACUUAUGGUAAUUAUCCUUAUCUAAUUUAGGCUUAAAAUUCCAAAAUUGUGCAGUCAGACGAGUCAACUCGUCGAGUCAGGAUUUGGACUAGUCGAGUUGCCUCAACUCGUCGAGUCCCAUAAUGGACUCGUCGAGUUCAUCUGGAAGAGUCUAGAUUUCGACUUGUUUUAGCUUUGAACAAUUAACCAUGGCAUCAAAUAUAACAGAAAAACACCCUAAGCUCUGAUACCACUGAUAGGUUUUGAGCACUACAUCAUUACUAUGGUUUACAUGCAACCCUAAUGCUUUGGAUCUAAGUUUUUCUCAAGUUAUACAUGAAAUUCAAAUCAUCCAAAGCAUGAACCGUAACUAGCAUACAUUUUUCAAGAUUUAUAAGAUAAAACAAAGUUAGAAGAAUACCUUUUCCUUGUAGCUUGUAGAUCUUGACCUUCAAGAGCUUAGUGCCUCAAUUAUUGCACCUCUAGUGAGUCACAAACACCAAGUAGCAAUUGGAAGAAUACGAGAGAGGUGGGAAGGAUCAAAAAUCAGCUAGGGUUUCCUCUUAGGAUGCAGUGGCUGAUUUUAGGCAUCCUAGGGGUUCCUUAUAUAGCUGAGCUGCUAGGGUUUUGAUGGGUUUUGGUCCUAAGAACAUCCUAUGUGCUCAUACAAACCCUAAUGCUUGGAUCUAGGUUUCUCUAUUGUACAUGCAAGUUAUCCAAGACUAUAAACCCUAAUUCUAACAUUCAAGUAAUCAUAUUAACAUGAGAAUAGAUUUAAGAUGUUACCUUGAUUGUUAUGUAGCAAUAACAAUCCCAAAUCUCCUUGUAUUGACUUUAGCAAGCUUAGAGUCACAAUUGUCACUCCUCUAAUGGUUCACAAACACCAUAAGCAAGAGGAUGAAGAGGAGAAAGGAUGGAGGCUGCCCAAAAACGUGUGAAACCCUAGAAUGAAGCUUAGCCACGUUUUUGGUCAUAAGGGAUCUCUUUAUAUAGGAGGCAAUUAGGGUUAUCUAACAAGGAAACCCUAAUUUGGAUGCUUAAGCCCUAAGCAACCCAUGGACUCAUUUAAUUAAGGCCUUGGACGAUUUCCUUAUGGGCUUCCCCAUAGAAUUCGUCCACUCCUUAUUAUAAGGCAAUCCAUGACCCAAAUUGCAAUUAUCUUAUAAUUACAAUUCCAGUCCCUUAAGUUUAAUUAAUCUCUUUUAGUCACAAAACUAAUUACCAAUUAAUUAUUGACUAAUAUUAAUUAAACAAUAUGAUUUCUCCUUUAAUAUAUUAUUCUCAUAAUAUAUUAAUAAAUCAUAUUUAAUCCUUUCUCUCCAUAAUUCAUCCUAUCAAGUUGCUUUGGUGAAGGCAACCCAAAAGGACCAUGCACCAUCGGGUCAAGUACAUACCAAAANAAGGACCGUGCACCAUCGGGUCAAGUACAUACCAAAAUAGUUAUGGACUUAGACACUAAUCCAACAGGUUUCUGACUGGAACUCUAAUUCUCUGCUUAGGCCCUCCAGAAUCCCCCUUUGGACGAGAUCUAUGUGGGCUGCACAUAGAAUUUCGUCCAUCCCUUCCUAGGGAUCCUCAAGCCCAACUUGCAACUAUCAUACAAUGGCAUAUUAGUUCCCGUAAUUUAAUCAGUCUCUUUUGAUCAACAAAUUAAUUCCAUAUUAAUUUCUGAUCAAUACUAAUUAAUUAAUAUUAUAUUUUAAUUAAUAUAUUAUUCUUAUAAUAUAUUAAUAAAUCAUAAUUAACCUCUUUUUCCAUAAUUCAUCCUAUCAAAUUGCUAUGGUGAAGGCAACCCAAAAGGACCAUGCUACUAUCAGGUCAAGUACAUACCAAUUAUAGUUAUGGGCUUAGACACCUAAUCCAACACUUAUUGUCUAGAGAGAAACCCUAGCUAUGCUUUAUUACUUUCUUGAAUGUGUGUGUGAGCUUUGGAGAGUAAAUCCCAUGUUCUUUUGGAGGAAACUAGAAGUUUGAAUAGGUUGGAUUGCAUAGAAGGACUUAGAUCCAGGAAAUUCAUGGUUUUUACAACCAUUUAGAGGUAAAAAGUCGCCAUCUUGAUCACUCAUUUGUUGGAUCUCUACAUUAGAAAGUUCAUGGUAAUUUUAGAUUACUCUUGAGUUAUUCUUGGUUAAUUUUGAGCAUGCUUUGAAGUUAGGACUUAAGAUCUGAGCAUCUUAGGGUCUCCGUGGACUUAAAGUUGACAACUUUAUUAAGUGUUAGCCCUCCUUCAUGCUCUAAAACCCAUAAUAAGCUUCAUAUGAGUGAUUUAAUCCCUUUGAUGCCUUGCAUGCACGUAAAGUUAGCAACUUUGUGUGGUGUCUCAUUAAUAAGGGGCUAGAUCUGUAGUUUGGGGCCUUGGAUUCGACUGGAAAAAGGCUGAAUACGUUAAUACAUGAAAACUCGACGAGUUGCUUAGCCAACUCGACGAGUUGGAUAGGGUUUCCUGCUUCCUGGACUAUGAGUGAAUUCGAUGAGUUGAUGAGAUGAAUCAACGAGUUGGUUGAGUUUUUCACCGGUCUUCUAGACACUGAAGAACUUGAUGAUUUGCUCUAGCAACUCAGUGAGUUAUCCCGAGCUUUUUCACGAUCUUCUGAGAUAUGAAGGAACUCGACGAGUCAGUAUAUGCACUCGACGAGUUGGGUCAACAUGGACUGUUGACCUUGACUGUUGACUGUUGACUUUGACUUUGACCAUGGUUGACCAAGUUUGACUCCUGAGGGUAUUUUGGUAAUUUGGGAUUAUAAUGGAAUUAGUCAUAUGGUGGUUACAGGAAGUUGAGUUCGGAGCUGUGAGUUGAGAUUCGAUUUUUAUCGGUUCAGCAAUUCUUGUGAGGUUUCCUCACUAUACUUAGGGGUCGAAGGCACCAAGGCCGACCCAUUGGAUUGAUAUCCUGGUAGUUGUUGAUGUGCUGAGUGUGAGUUAGAUGUGCAUGUUAUCUGGUAAAUCUGUAGGACUACUUGUGAUACUAUCUAAUUAUCUGUAUGUGUAUUUAGCUUUUACAUAUUGACAUGUUGUGUGGGUAGAGUUGAGGUUGUACUGCUCCAUGUGGUAACCAACAAACCCUGGAGUAUGCUAGAUAUGAGCUGAGAGCUAAGGAGAGCAUGUCAGUCUCAUACUGAGGACUCCUAAGCAUUCCAAAUGCGAGCCGAGGGCUAGGGGAGCAUGCCAGUCUCGCACUGAGGGCUAAUCAUUUAUAUUCCAAUCGUAGGACUAAAGGGGCAAGCCAGUCAUAAGCUGUGGGCUCGAGAGCAAGCCAAACUUAUGAUGUGGGUUCGGGAGCAAGUCAGAUGUGAGCUGUGGGCCUGUAAGGCAAGCCAAACUCAUACUGUGGGCUCAGGGGUAAUCCAGUCUGUAAAGAUGUGGACCGAU
rnacentral:lncRNA from 1 species